CCAAUUUAGAACCUUUAUAGUAGAUUAAAAGAAAGAACAGACUCAUAUGAAAGUUCCCCAGAAAAAAUGGCUGUUGUUGAAUCAGCUGUGAAAUACGCUCUUGCUCACGAAUCUGCUGUUCUAGCUCAGACCAGGCUAUCUCCGAGAAAAUAGGGGUCCCGAACGGGAGAAGAAUAAGGCAGGCUGUCCUUUGACUAGUUUGUUGUUUUUUCUGGGGAAUUUGCUUGUCAACGAAAUUCCACUCAUAAGUAGGUUCACAUCGUGAUCUAAGUUCCAUUUCCCAUCGAGAGGUUAUGAUACUGGUAAAGAGUCCUAUCCUUCUCCUUGGGUUAUGAAAUAAUUCAAUAGCUCCGGGCUCCCUCACUGCAUUCCAAGGCAAGCUCCUACUAGAUCCUACUAUUCCUGAUAUUCCUACUGGAUUUGAGCAACUCGAGUAUGAACACUGUAUCGCUAUGCCCCUCGCUUAGCCCCGCUCUUUGGUUUAGGAUGGAUCCGGACUGGACUAAGCUUGAAGAUCUAAUUACGGACUGGAAGCGAAAAUACCGUAAAAAUGGCUUCUUUCUUCGAGGACUCUUUUGUAAUAGCUUGAUGAGCCGAACCAACAAGAGAUAUUACGUUCUACCCUCUGCUUCGAGCCCGGCCGAGAGUGAGCUUCCCGAUAGUCUCUUCCUUCCUAGAAAUAGAACUCUAACUAUCAAACCCGUCCCGUCUCCUUACUCGAGAUAUCUGAGAUAGCUCCGUAAACUAAUAACUUAUAAUAGACGAGCCCAUUAUCCUUAUGUUCCGAACUUGCUUCUUGGUACAAGGGGAGGGGCGCAGAAUUCUAGUUAUAGUUCUUCUUCUGCCUAAUCUUUAGUACCGCUUUGAGAUUGAAUCCUUAGAACCAUGUGCCUAAGAGGGCGAGGACCUUUAUAGCCAUAAUUCUUCCCCCGGUUCUACCUCCUUCUGCAAUAGUGAUCUAUCCCGUCAAUCCCACCCGCGAGCUAUCCAUUCUAACCUGUCUUUGCCUAGCAAGAUACGUCUAGUUCUCCCUCCGCUUGCCUAUCUCAGUAGGAAAUUGGAACAGUCUCCGAUUUCAAAGAAAAAGCUGAGGCGAGAGCUAUACCUUCUGGAACCGGAGCAAUAACUGCUAUAAAGUAAGGAGAUGCGCAGGAACGAUCCCUAAAAGCAAAGGCUAGGAAUGCUCCACGACUAAGUAUACCCAUUCAGACUCGCUUUUGUUCAAUUAUAAAAAAAUAAGCACUUUGAUGAAGAUUUAUAGCAUCAUUCAAGUAAAUACAGAUUAAGAUCGUAGAAACAUGAGCUUGUGAUAUAGCUACACCUAAUUCCAGACCGGUUAAUGCAAGAACUAUAAAUAAAGGACCAAGAUCCCCUAUGAAAUAGAAAAGAUCAUUCAUACAUAGCAUAGUCCAAGCGAACCCACUUAAAAUCUUUACUGAACUAUGACCGGCCAUCAUAUUAGCAAAUAAACGUAUUCCUGAGCUUAAUGCUCGAAAACAAUAAGGGAUUAGCUCAAGGAGUACUAAAAAAGGUGCUAAUGGCAGCGGGACUCCCGCGGGUAAUAAGAAGCUUAAAAAAUGAAGCCCAUUUUUUUGAAAUCCCACUAUAGUAAUGCCAAUAAAAAUCGAAAAUGAGAGACCCAAAGUAAUGAGAAAAUGACUUGUAACUGUGAAGCUAUAAGGUAUCAUACCCUGGGGAUUACAAAAUAACGAAAAAGUAAAAGUGACCGAGAUGCGAGGGGAAAACUUUUGUUUAACAUUUCCGGAAAGACCACCUAUUUGUUCGUUUACCGGGUUCAGCACGAAAUCAUAAAUAAGCUCUACCAAGGAUUGCCAAGCAUUUGGUACUGAGUUUCCUCCUCCCUUUUUAGUAACAAAAUAAACCAAAAGUAGGACCAAACUGAGAGUUAGUAGCAUAAAAAAAGAUGGAUUUGUGAAUGAGAAAUAGAAGUUUCCAAUUUUCAUAGGAAUCAAUGGCACAAUCUCAAAUUGAUCAAGUGGGCUUUCUAAGAGAUCCGCAUUCGUAUUCACUGCAUUAUUCGUAUUCACUGCAUUGGAAUAGGCUGAACCCCCUACAAUCUCGUUAAAUUGUUUUAGGGCAAAGUCAUAGUGCUCACCCUGUUUGUCUUUUAAAUGUUCUAAAAUUUCUCCGAGAAAACCCGUGUUGUCAUCAUCAUUAUGCAAAUUUUCUGUGAUUGCGAGUAAUUUGUUUUCAUCUGAACAAUGAUUUUUGAAGACUUUUUGAACGGACUCAAAGAUUUCACCCCUUAGGUGGUCUGCUAUAUUUUCAAAAGUCGUAGAAGUAGUAGGGUCCAGACCUUCAAAAAUACCAUGAUUAUUCAAAAUACUCGAAACACUCCCAUCAACCUGAGUACUGGACGACCGAAGACUAAAAUCGCCAAUAGUCGUAGUAGAUUGAUUCGUAGGAUUUAGAAUCCCAGUACUACUAGUUCCGAAUGAACUACUAGACGAAGGCGAAGCUAUAUUACUGGAACUGGAACUUGAGUUCAGACUAGCUUCAUCAAAGCGGAAAAUGCGUCGCACCAUAUUUUUUUUUUUUAAGAUGAUUCCCUCAAUACAGCUUAAGUCAAGCCUGUACGAGUAGUGAAGAAGUCUAGAGAUUUUAGUUGGUUGUUGACCAACGGAAAGCAUGGGAAAAAGAUAAAGAUUAGUUAGAUGUAGCACACACUUCAAUCCAAAGAAGCAAGACUUUUUCUUUCUAUAAGAAAUUACGUAAUCAGGGUUAAAGCACAUACAUAUAGAAAGGUGUAAAGGACAGAUGUGUCAGUUAAUAAAAGAAUGACUUACGUGCAGUACUGGUACGAAUUACUUUAUUGAAUUAGAAAGCCCCUCCUCUAAUUACGAAUGGAUUCGAUCCAUUAGAUUGACUCUUUUCUUUCUUCUUUAGAUUGCACGAGUUUUCUGUUCUGAGCCUUAGUUUGCGCCUGCCUACCUUUCGCCUUUGUCCACUAGACAAGCUUUCUUAAGGAUCCAUCCCCAUAGUUUAUUAUCAUAUAAGAUGAGUGGAACACCCGUUUAUUGAGCAUUUAAGGCCUUUUAAGGACUUGUGAGGUAUUUAAAAAUCGGAAUUUUAGGUUCGAUCCGUUAGGUUGACUCUUUUCUGUCUUUGUUAAGUAAAUAAAGACAGAAAAAAAAAGAGAUUAUUUUUUGUUUUUUCUUUGCUGUUAUUAUAGAUAAGGGUAUGCCUUUUUAUUCUUAUGGCCAUCAAUUGGCCCGCUCCCACAAAAAAAUGUUUCCUAGGCAAUUUGGCCACAUGCAAUCCAUUCCUUUUUCCUUUUCUAUCAAACCCUCACCAUGGCACUCUAGAUCACUUAAGGGGCUGGACCCACUUAUUCGAGCACGCGAUGUGUAUUACAAUGACCUUCAGUCGACUAAGAAGGUGCAUCAUAUUCGCAGCAAGCCAGCCUCUCUUGCCUACCCCUAAGUCCUGUCUGCAGUAGCUGCUUCGCUUCUAUUAUAGAUGACCGAAGAGCGGACUUCUUUCCAACAAAGAGAGGAAGUUUCGAUUCGAACAGAGAGAUAUGUCGGAAUUAGCUCUUGGGAAAGAUAGAAGGGCAGGGCUUCCAUAAUUAAACCAAUGUGGGAGCUACUUAUAAUAAGUUCCAAAACCUUGAGAUGAAGAAGGGAAAGCGUAAGUGAACUCGAUCCAGUGGAGGAGGAAGCUCGGUUCAGUCCUUGCAGAUCUUGACUCACUCACUUCCAGAGUAGAAUACGAAACUCUAGUUGAAGGGGUAUUGGCCAUUAUGAGUAGUAAAGGCUACUAUGAGCAGAAAGGGACUACUUGGCUCGAUCGAGCAGCACCUACACCUUCUCGCGUAACGACUUCUUUGAAGCUAGGCUAGGAUCGGAUCCAAUUCUAGGAGCGAUGUCAGACCAGUAGACCCAAGUUAUGCCUUUGAUCUAGUCGGUUUGAACACAUUGUUCUCUUGAAAGCUUAUUAGGAAGCUAAGUCUUUACCUUUUCUUUUCUCAAUAGGAGGUCUUGUGCCGUUGGACCUGCCCUUUAUGCAGCAGUAGUUUCGGUUGAACUGGACAUUGCUCCCGCUAUUGGUAGGCUUACUCGACUAAGAAUUCAAGGAAGUGAACUGGCGGGACUCUGCUACUUACGAGGGUUGAUGUGGAAGAAGGGGCGAAGAAUCCUCUGCUGAUGAAAGAUAUGCUGAGACAAAAGCAAAAUAGGAAGAAAUACCUGCUAGACCAGAGACUGGGGGUUCUUUUUCGCGUAAAAACCUCCGGUAAUAUAGUAUUUCCAAGCUAGGGGUAUUGUUGUUUAUGCACAAGGUUUUUCUCCUCAACCAAAGCAUGGGUCAAAAAGGAAGAACAUGACCAUCAGCAAGAAAGGGCGUCCCGACGUCGACUCCGAAAGGAAGCUCGCGAGAGGGAAAGAGAGGAAAAGAACCAAUGAUUCACCUAUAUGAAGCUGAAGAAAGCAUUAGAGUGAAGAUCCCCUGCUUAACCUGAAAUGAAACCUCUCAAGCCAGGGAAAGAUUGACCAUCGGGUUUAUUUCCGAGUCAGGACAGAAAGAGUGACUACUCGAUAGAAAUGCCCCUAUGAAUAAGGGAAGUUACUAGCCUUCUUUCUUAGGCCAAGGAAGGAAAGCACGGUAGAACUAGCGUAGCUGUGGGACUCUCGCUAGUAUUGACCUCCUGGACUAGUACCGAUGGUGGCUCCAUACGGGUAGACGUAGGCCCUGAAACCAUAACAAAGACAAGACAAUUACAGGGAGGACGUACGUGUUCUCGGGCGAGUGCGGACUCGGUUAGUAUACAAGAUCAUCAACAGAGUAAUAGGAUGCAUCUGCUGAAGCCAAGACUCAUGUAACAACAAGCUGGACCGAAGCUCAGCCAUAGUUGGUUUUGGUCGUUGAAGCUUCGCCGUAGUGACCUUUCAUAGUCCGAAGGCAGGCCAGCAAGAAGGAAUGUAAACAUAUCAGAUUGGGACACCGGUGCAUUGAUAGAUGCCAAGGAGUCACAACUGUUCUUGAAUGUACGAAGGUAAGCCGCCAUAAACGGAUUUCCUUUCUUCUCUCUUUCACUAUCAUGUUCCUCACUAACCCGAAAGAAACAUAUUUAUUCUUUUCCGGCGGCGAAUAGUCUGAUAUAGGCGAAAAGUCUCAGAAAAGAUUAGGGGAUUUAUUAAAAUAUCAUAUAUUAAGAAAAUGAAGCAGCUAUACUUGGAAUCAAUGACGAAGCUGUUGUUUUCUUAAAGCAUGGAUGCUUUGUUCCAAAUAGUGAUAGGGCAAAAACAGGGGGGGACGAGGGAAUUAGAAAAAAUGCAAACUGUUUCUACUUUUCGUAGGCAUUUCCUAAUUUUUUUACAGCAAGCAAACAAAAAAAAAGUAAAUCCAACAGAAAUCAGGGAUCGAUUGAUCCAAACGUUCGACUGUAAAUCGAUUAUUAUUGCUCAACGAAAUCAUCCACGGGGCCUCAACUUUGAUUAUAUUAUCGGCGUCAAAUGUACCGACGCAUCAAAAAAUACGGUGAAGCAAACAAUAAGAGCUUUGUUCUUCGAAUUCGAAGGACAACUCUGUCAUCAAUCCUCCAUAUUCUUCUCUUCGGCAUAACUGGUAAGCAGCAUACUACAGCAAUAGACCAGUCCACUAACAGCGGUAUACAGUAAGUCAGUAUAAGUCAGUACAGGAAGGGCACGCGAAAUAGACAACUACUUACUAGGCUAGGGUAGUCGUUUUUUCAUCUUCCCUUUAUUUUACUUUACCCUAGUGGAAAUUCUUUUUUCAAAGUUACUAGGUAAUUAGUGAAGAGGUUUAUAAAAGUGACAAGCUUGGUGGAAAGCUCUUAUCUUAGGAGGAAAAGCUAAGUAUGCCCGAGUAGUCUUGAUAUUGGUUGGUUUGAGGUUUCGUUAGUUUUAUACUAACAAGCAAGCUUCGGCGACCGCUCGACCUAGCGCGUUAGCCCCAGUACUAUAGGGAAGGCCUAUGCGAAGAAAAGGCCUGCCCAUCAUCAAAGCAAGCCCAAGUCCAUGCAAGAAGGCCCUCCAGAUCUGUCCAAAUUCAAAGCCCGUCAAAGGCAUAUGAAAUCAUGCAAAGGAUCCGAGCCCAUCCAAAUGAUGUUCAGCGGGCUAAACCCAAGUAGCUCUGGCCCAUGAUCCAAGAGACCCGAAACUCGUUCAUCAUGCUAUCCUUACCUUCUAACUAACCUCUUCGAUUUCGCUUAUCCUAACAGUGAUUGAUUAGGCCUAACUGUUGAAGCUGGUUAUGCAAAGGUUGUUCACACAGGCAGUGUGGCUUCACUUUGUAGUUAGUUUGCUCAUUAAACAGGCAUGUAUAGUACUCAACUGCGGAAAACUCAUAAAAAUGGUGCCUAUCAUCAAAUUCGUGCCGCAUGGCGGGAUUACUCUACUUCUACUCUAUAAAUAGAAACUCGAUAAGCCUUCGAGCUCUAAAAUAAAAUAAAAAAUUAUUAUUAUGGCAGCUCUUGCAGUUUCAGAAAGGCUUUUUCAAAUUUCACAAGAAAUCCAGGAAAUCGAGAAUGAGCUGGGUCAACGCCGAUUUGCCUUAAGAGCCUUUUUGAGGCACCUGCGUCCGGCGAGCCCUGCCGUCGUAGGAGACCGCAUGCGCGCGGCAAAUGAAAACAUAAUGCGCCUCGAGACGAGACGACAAAUGCUGCGAGAUGAACAGCGAGCGCUCAUUGUGCAGGCUGUCACCCUCGGCGACCGGAGAGACUAAGAAAGAAUAUAAUAGUUACAGUCUCUUCCGUUGUGGAAGUUUAUUUACAGAAAUAAAGGAGUUCCAUAUUGUACUCCCUAUUUGCUUUUCUAGUGCUACUUUCCUUGAAAUAAAGAUCGUUGAUAGCCAUAGCAUUUUCUCAAUAAAGAAAGUGAGUAGCAGUGUACUGCUGAAUUGAACUUUCUUGUAUAUUGAAUUGACAAAUUACUAAUGCCUUAAGCUCGGGAUAUAUAUAUAAAUUCUUGGAAAGAUUAUAAAACUCAUGCAGUCACCCCUUAUCUUACUUACUCCAUUUCUUUUGUCAGGAAUAAUGGCCUUAGAUAGCGUUUAUCUUAUCUUUCAAAAGACCUUAAGCUCGCUAUAUUAACCUAUAAAAGUCUUCCGCUUUCAAAUGUUAUCUUUCGCAUGCCUUACGAAAAGCAUUUCAAAAGUGUCAUUUUUUCUGUAUUUUUGGUUGAAAAAGCAAGAGGAAAUGGCACAUUAUUAGAUAAAUAGUGCAGGCAUGUGUUGCACUUUUUUCGAAAUCGAAAGAGCUCUUUUGAGGGGCGCAGCGGAAUUCAUUCAGAAAGCAAGACAGAAUAGGCUCUUACUGCUAACGAAAGAACUUCCCUUAAAUCAAGAUAUUAGCUGUGGGACUUCGGUGCCUUAAGCGGAAGAGGGGAUUUCUUUCUGGCUGCUACGCUCCUUUCUUAUUCUCUUAUUCUUUUUUUCUGUCUCUGAAGUGAGUGAAGUCAAGCUAGCGUCAGCAAAUCGGACAUAAGCAAUACACCCCGUCCUUUAGAAAGACGAUAGCGAUUCUCUUCCAGUGCUUUAAUUAAGAGAAAAAAUAGUAACCUAUAAGAAGAAAUUUUAGGAAUACCCGGAGCCUAGCUCUAUCGGAACUUACCUCAGCGACUUCCUAUCGGCUUCGAGCUAUUAUGCCCCACUAAUGAGGAAUAGGCAACUAAAUCGAAGUCUUCAUUUCCGGCUUUCGUAACUCCCAGGUAACUUCACCCUAAGCCUACUAUACCAUCUCCCGCUUCAAGGGCUGCUCUGCUCUGUCUGAAGAUAGGGCUUUUAGUAUAAUAUCAAGACUGACCUCCUGCUUCUGACUAUGACUGAUUUGCUGAUGUUGAGUUCUAAAUGCUCUAGCUUGAUUCUCAACUCUUAAGAGGGCCUUUAAAAAGACUUAGAUCGAGGAAUCUCAGCAAACAUAGGCAUUUAGCUCAGAUUACGCAUCUCCGACUGAAAACUGAGGAGCGCAGCAAGAGAGUGAAAAUCGGUAAGAAAUUACUUGACUUCAAAUCAGUCAAUCCUAAACAAAAUAUACUGAUUACAGGCUCUACUGAAAUACUGAAACGAAUGAAAUCGAAGUCAAUCUUACUCAAUCCUGGAAAUAGGAGUCGAAAGCCAAUCAUUUGAGAUUGAUGCUUAGGCUUCUUCCUUAGCAAAGAGAAAGUAAGAAUUUGAGAUUUAUCCCUCUAACUCAAGAAAAAGAGCUGCAACUAUUUCCUCAGUCUGACUUCCGUGGAAGUCUAAUUGAUUUCAUUCCUAGGUAGAAUUGGGAGUUGAAAGCCAAUAGGAUUGAAGUCAGAUUCUUUCUCUUUAAAGUUACGAUUGUUCGAAGUUCAAUUUGAUCCGGGUAAGAAGACCUAAAGGCGGCCAAAAGGUUCUUGGGUUUCUUACGCUUUUAUCUCUGUCUCUGCUGUAACUGCUAACAACAAUAGCAAUUUAUCUUCCUUUCUGGCUUAGCCUGUUGCGUAACCGAAUGAGUGUAACGAAAAGAUACGUGAGUUGAACAUAAAAGCUCUAUACUUUACAAGCAAGAGAUUGCUUCAUUCAGGACAGAAAGUUCCUACAAUACUAAAAAAGGGAAAGCUAAAGCAAAAGGGCCAAGAAAACCCCUGCGAAAGCGCAUACGAAUUAUUCCUUGCGCUGCAUUAUCGUAUAAUAAGAUAAAGGCCAGUCACUUCGACUCCUUAAAUAGUGGCAGCAGGUCUUUAUCCUUCGCUUUGGGGUUGAGUUUACGUGCCAUCUUCAGCCUACCUAGGAAAGGGCUACCUUUUUAGUAAAGCAUUUCCCCCGGAAAUAGCCUUAGCUGGAUUUCUUUCUUCGUAGAAAAGUGGCAACAAGCCUUCGUAUAGGGCCAGGGCCGCUUAGCUGCAUCCUUUAGCAUCCUAUGGGCCUAGGUCAGUCAACUUUUUUUAUUAUAAUAAUUUGGUCUCCUGCCCCGGGGCAUUCCUUUAGUAAGUAAUCCGUGCAAAUGAGGGCCUAAGGCUAUUCCUUGCUGCGGAGCUAGCAUUCACACCGCUUUCCUCAUGUCAGCAAGCUCGGGGUCUAACCUCAUCCUAAAACGACUUCUCCAAGCCGUAGACGGAAGACCAAUAAUGAUACAUCCUUAGCUAUAGCUAUGGGAAGAAGUACGAUGCUUGUAGCCAAUUCUACCUCUUAGCGAGGGCUUGACAGAGUUCUAAUAGGGGAUUCCGGUAUAUCGUAUAGUUGUUUAAUCUUGCUUUUAGGAGCGCUCUUUUCAUCCAACUCUUUAUUGAAUAAAGAAAGAGAUUGAGGAGCGUAGGGGCUUAUAGUUUAAUUGGUUGAAACGUACCGCUCAUAACGGUGAUAUUGUAGGUUCGAGCCCUACUAAGCCUACCUUUUCACCUCCGGUGGCUCAGUCAAAGUACCCAAGAUCUAAAUCUAGCGAAACCACACUGCUGCCGCUGCCCUUCGGGCAAUACGCGAUGCAGCCGAAUGAGUUUCACUUGAAAUGAGUUGAUAAGUGUAACGAAAAGAAAGACAUAGGGAAUAGUUCAACUCAUAUUUGAGAUACGUAUCACUCAAACCUACGUAUCUUUCAGUGAAACUCCUUCCUUCGUUCACUUCAAACGUCGUAUUCUAUACGUAAUGAAAAGAUACGUAUAGAGAAACUCAUUUCAUUGCCAAAGAAAGCCCUUUGCUGAGAAGGUAUCACACGAGGAUAUCUAAAAGAAAAUAAAAGAAUGCAAUAGAACACCUUUUCUGACAUCAGGAGAUGAAAGCUUCAAGCCAAUCGGGCGGGCGUCGAAUGAAAUAGGUAGCCGGGUUCUCUUUCUACAACCCUUUUGAAUGGAUGAGUUUAGAAGGCUGCCGGAUAAGUAGAGCCUUUCAAAGAAUUGUUGAAGCAGCCGGGCAUCCACGUAGGACCUGUUGCGAAGUCUUCCCUACUCAAGGGAAUAGAGCGAUUGUUGCAAUCAGAGAAGCCAGCCCCGACUGUGCAUCGAGAAGUUCGUCUAAGCAUGAAUAUUUUCUUUUAUGGGGAACGUCGAUCUCUCUCUAUGGCGUAGAUAGAUAAACCCGAAGCUAGUCUUGAUGGACAAGAAAUGCCCGCUCCGCUACUAAACUCACUUGGAGAAAGCAACUAGGUCCCCAAAAGAAAGGGGCAGGAUAUCAACUCAUUUUUCCCAUUGCAUGCGACAACUAGUCGAGAAAAAAGGGAAGAAAGCCUAAGCGAGCGAGACAAGAAGGAAUGUUGGAGCUAUUCCCUUAGUUGAGUCCUUGCCUCUGGCUUGGGUUCUUAAGCAAUUGGGCGGAUUAAUACUGUAUUACUGUAUCAUUCUGGGCAAGACAGUCGGAAGCGAGCCAAAGGGUCGGCUUACUUUCUGGAAGAAGUAGCUGCUACUGUGAUCAUAUCUGCUGUUCGCAUAUCCGCUCAAGCAAGCCUGUCCCAAGCCGGCCAAGCAGUUGCUUUGAAUCGGAUGUGAGGGAUUGAAUUACUUUAGUAUAUUAGUAUAAAUAUAUCUUUCCCGGGGAAAGAAAUGAUAGUAGCUUGUUGCACGGUCUCUCUAUUGAUUUAUAGUUUGAGGAUUCGUAAGAAGUUGGGGUCGAUUUCUUUCUUUGUUGUUGAUAUCCUACAGAUAUUAUGUUAUUAUGUAUUUCAUCCCUUUGUUUUGUAGAUUCAUUAUGUUAGUGCUUUUAUGGGAAUGAGUUGAUAAACGAAAUGUUCCUUAUUCCCUAUGUUUCGUUACUUCGUUUAUCAACGAAAUGAGUUGAACAUAGUGAAACGAAAUGUUCCUUAUUCCCUAAUCCCUAUUUCUUUCUUUUCGUUUAUCAUAAUAGCAACGAAUACGUAUCUCAAAAGCAUCAAGUUCGGAGGCACCACCUGUAGCGAAUCCAAACAUACCCAACGCCCCCUCGUCUGCCGCUGAAACCCCCCACUCUGAUGCUUCCGGCUCCCGAGGCAAAUCAGCCCUGGACGAAAGAAAGGAGGAACUUAUUCUUUCAAAUAUAAAACGAUCUCGGGGAUGGCCAAAGAGUUGCGGAUUUCAAUGUGACAACCAAUUUGAGCUUAUCGAGGAGAUGAAAAAGGAAGCGGGAGCUAAAAAAGAAGAUUGCCCCGCGACCAAUUCCGCGUUUAAUGGGAUUAGGGAAUACCAAAGUCACGUCCAAGAUGGACGGGGCGGAGGGAAACCUAACGAUUGUUCCAAUCGAGAAGGGGGGAAGACAGGAGUACUCAACGGGGAUAAGGGAUCCCCCCGGGUAGAGGAAGUAAGAGAUGGCUCGCUUUUGGGAGGUAGACUUGGGCAGCAAGCUAUCUGUUGUCCUGACCCGGAAAGCAAAAGUAGCUCGAGCCAAAGGCGACAGCGAGGGGUCGAAUCAAAACCUUUCUUUUCUACGCUUUCUUCUAUUACGAAAUGGAGAGUGUUGUUAUAGUCCUGCUACUUUUAAAGCAUUUCAAGUAGUAGCAUCUCAAGCCAGCAUAAAAAGUGUUUCCAUCAGAUCAGGGCUUUAGGCAAGCUAGCUAGUCAGUGAGCCAGAGAGGGUAGGAGUCACUUGACUUGGAAGAAGAAUUCUCCUAAGCUUGGCACUAGGUGAUCUAUGUGUCAAAGGGCUACUUUUCUUCCUAUCCUUUCCCUUGCCUUGCAGCCUAUGCAUCAAUCCCAUUCUACCGAUGUGUACUUCUUUGGAACAGCUUUCCCGAUCCCAUCAUACUCUUUACCUUUCUUCCCCUUUUUGGUAUUUGCUAUCUUGUGGUCCGGUCCCUUAUUUUUAGGCUUACCACGUGGCUGAUUCCUCUUGCGACGUCUGUUGGGAGGUAGCAUCCAAUAGAUCUAUCUACUAGGCCUUUCGUCGUGGAAGCAAAUGGAAAAGCAAAAGCGGAAACAGCUAGAUCAACUGCCGAAUCAGUCGAACUUGAAGCCUUCGCUCCUAUGUCAAUGGUUGGGAUAGCUGGCUUACCUUCUUAGUUAGGACAUUCAAGCUUCCAGUCUAAUGACUGGACACGACCAACCCCGACUCUCUAAGCCCUCGUCUUUACAGGAAUUGUCGCAGCUGAGCGUAGAUGACUUCCCGCAGAUUGGGCUACUUCUAUUUAUCAAUAUAGAAAGAAGAUCCUACUUUCCCAUCAAGACUAAAAGCGAAAAAGAACCUCUCAUCUUGGGAUGAGACCCUGGAAGCUUUGGCCCGGCAUACUACUAUCAUAUCAGGGAUGAAAGGUGAUCAUUUCUUGUUCUUAGCAGCUAUGGCUAUUCAUUUGAGUAUUCAGGUAAUGAAUAGUCAAUGAGCGAAGGGCGCAGUUACCACAGCUAUGAGUUCAAGCGGCUACCCUAUAGUAGCAGUUCAUUGAGGCUCGACAGACCUGGGCUAAGGAGAUGAUCUGGGUAAACCCCCUUUUUUGGUGAGGUAAGGCACCUCCCACUUUCUGCUAGAGCAAAAAUGAAAGAAAUCGUGUAUGUAAUCCGCCCUCAAAGAGAGCUCAGCUCAAGAGGACUACAUUCAACAGAAGAACGAAUGAAAAAGGAAUUCCUACAGGGAAAGGCAAAUUGAAGGCUUUGGGACAACAUAUUAGAAUAGACAAACAAAGAAAGACAGAGAUAGGGUGCAUCGAAGAAGAUGACUGGUGAUUCUUCACUUCUUUCUUCUCUUCGUUCUCCAUCUAAGUUCCUUAUUGUUUCAACUGCAAACUCCGAAAAAUGAUCCCUCCUUAUACUGCUUGCCGUUCGUUAGCUACUCUAGUUCUCACUCCAAGUAUUCCGUUCGUUCGGACUCUCCAUUCUGGUUAGCUCGGUAGAGUGGCAGGCGAAAUCCGUCUCUCUUUAUAGAUAUUGAGAUAGAUAUUGAGUAGGUAGGCGGCUAGUCACUUCUUACUCGUGUAGUGAGAAAAACCUUAUUUUAUUCUUAGUUCAAUCACGAGUUGAAGGUUUGCGAUAGAUGUUGCCUUUCCUGGAUAAACGAUCUCAAAUCGGCUUUUUUAUUGUUGCAGAUCUGUGAAAAUAAUCGGUUCAUUUGUCCCUGGUUCCGGUUGGAAGUGUCAUCUGUAGCGGGAAUCGAUAUCUGUAUUUGUAUAAAUAUAAGAGAUGCUUUUUGCUUUGUCUUUUAAGCCGGAUCUAGAAUGUAUUGGUAAGGAUCUCUCCCCUGCCUAUUUGUUUGGAGGGUUAUAAUGAUUUUGUGACUUUUUUGGAUUCUUUCUCUCGUCUUACUACUGUUUAUCUGAAAAUAUCUAAGGAUGAGGUUCGUUUUAUCCUUCCUUUGAGAUGAAUCUUCAAAAGUCUUUAUGGUCUGAAGCAGUGUUAACCUAGGUUUACCUGAUUAAUAGGGAUGCUUUCCGUGGUAUUGAAAGGGACCUGUACAAGUGUGAAAUCCUAAUGCUAAAAACUUUAUUCUUCUACCUAAUUUCUAAAUGUAUCGAAGUCCUGGGUAGUAAAGAAAAGUGGGAUGCUAUAUUUCCAGGAUUGGGAUUCGUAAAUAUGUUAAUAGAUUCUUGAUCUAUAUCUUCCAUUUUUGGGUGUGUGUGUGUUAUGUCUAUGUAACCGGGACCUCUCAUGAGAAAUUGGAUCCUAGAGCUGUGAGAUGUGUCUUCACUGGUUAUCCGACAUCACAAAAUGCUUUGAUCCCAUUACAAAAAUCAAGUAUGUCUCUAUGGAUGUUACUUGAUUUUCAAAUCAACCCGAUUUUCAUGACCCAACCAAGAAAACCUUGAGUCAUCAACAAGAAGAACCUGAGUCAAGUGAUCAGCCGUCUUUUAUAAUCCCUAUGUCAUCUGCCCAUAGAGAAAACAAUGCUACUACUCCUCCAGGGGAAGAUGCGGUCAAGACCAAUUAGUGGAAGACAUACUGACCUGACGAGGUAAGAGAGGACUCGUUGUCCCUUAUGUUCCUCUUGUUAAGAGCGAGGAUCUUUCCCUUGAAUUGGGAAAUGUUAAUAUGCCUCAAGAUGAAGAGAGUGAAACUAACCCUGAAACUUCUGAUCUUGAUCUUACGAUUGCAGUCAGGAAAGGGGAAAAAGAGCCUGUACCUAACUCCCUUUGAACUACUAUAUAUCCUAUCCAAAAUUGUCAUCCUCCUACAAGGCCUUUCUUCCUCAUGAAGAAGGAGUAGAGACCUAGCUUUCCUCUGUCUGUUAAAAUGUAAUGCUAUACCUUUUGUCCUUGAGAAUCGGCUGGGUAUAGCGGGAAAGAGUUUGACGAUCUAGUUACAUAUCACAUAAGAUGGGUACUCCCGAUAUUGUCUUGGGAAUUAUCAGUAUAUAUAGUAGCGUACUGGACUCCAUCUACAUAAGUAGAAGCAUUCAAGAAUCACUUGACAGUUCUUAUUUCAAUUUUCCGACUCUCAUCUUGUUAACUGACUUAACCGCAAUACUUAUCCAAAGACAGGACAAGUUGAAAGAGCUUCGGUAGUUACACUUUCUGUCUCGCGUAAGAAAGAGAGUUUAGAGUGCCAUACAAAGAACCUUAGAUAAGGGGAUUCCUCCCAUUGACUGAAGUUCAGAGUCAACCUUCCACACAAGGCAAUCUUCUGAUAGAGGGGAAGAGGCAGAGCACAACCGAUUCUGUGGCACAAGAUGCGCUGGUAUUGCAAAAGCAGGAAUGAGUUCACAACGUUCGAAUAAGCUACUCGACCGACUAAAGCUAAAAGGAGAAAGGGAGAUGACUCUAGUUGUUGAGUACCCUGAGGAAGGUACCGGAUCGACUUCUAGUUGUAGCGGAUCUUACUUACAUCGGUUCUAGCGCUUUCUCUUGAUUCUUUUUUUGAAAGAUCUUUCCUUACCUAAGAAAAGACCUAGAGGAAGAAAAGGAAGCCUCAUAGACUGAAGCCUCUGUUCAGUUCUUGCUCCGGUUGGUUUACGAAUCAAAGGAGACUAACAAACUACAACAAAAGCAAGUGCGCCGGUCGGAUUGACUAAACCAAUGCAACAAUCAAGAAGGCGAUCGAGAAGACAUGAGUUCCCAAACUGUAGUAUAAGUCUUUAUCGCAGAUGUGAGCUUCCCCUCAUCUUACUUCCCGCCACAAAGACAAUAAGAGAAGGAAACCUCUAACAAUAAAGAAGAUGUACUACAACCGCAUACACAUACCCUCGAUACAAAGCAAGAAAGAAAGCAGUCCUCGCCUCGGGUGAGCCCAGAAGUCAAGCAAGAAUCGACUUCACACACUAAGAAUAUCAUCAUUAUCUGAGAAAGAGCUUAAAAGAUCAAAUAAGAUGAAGGAUUUUCCUUUUUUUCAUACUACGACAUUGACUAAGCUAAGAGAAGGAUUUAGGACUGACGGAGAGACUGAGUCAAGCACUAUAGCACAAGGAUUAUCAUUCGCUUGUCUCGAAGAUUCGAAGCAAAAGAACCUUCUCCGCUACGGGGGAAGAAAAGAAUAGACUGGGGUACGGAUUUACUUACUAUUCGACUCGAAGUGGAGGACUACCUAGAUUAGAAUGAGGAUUCAAUAUUUCGUGAUAGUUAUCAUGGAUUGAAAAGGGACGGGCCAAUAGCAACGCAGAAGUUUCAUACAAAGGUGCCUUGAACAGGCGGGGAAAAGACGUUUAAAGCGGAGGGAAAACCAAUCUCAGAAGGGACGGAUGAAAGGGAAAAUUCCUGUGAUUCUUGGUUAGCUGACUAAGAGCGGAUGGGGCGGGCAAGGAGAGCGGCAUUGCUAUAGGUUCGAUUCAUCAAUGUCGGUAUCUCAGUCACAGAUUGAUGUUGUCCUCAAAAUACCCCUUAGUUUUUACUCAACUAUAUCCGUAGUAUCAGGAUUUCGACCACCCGGUCGUUCUUAUGGAUCUCGAUAUGUUUGGCUAACUACGAUGGAAUAGAGCCAUUCUAAGUAGAACCCCUUCUUACGAUAUGUCAGAUAGAGCGGGAUCAGUCACGUAAUAGCCCCCAGCCCUUUCCUUACGAUGAUUCAUGCCUUGCUCGUGCCGUAAGAAUGUCGUAUGCAAAUGAAUUCACUUUUGGUAUAGAAUAAAUGGGCGAAAGCCCGAUGCAGCAACUUGCGAGGGGUUGUGCUUUGCUACUUGCUUAGGUUUCCAUCUAUUGUAUUUAUCUACAUGGGAAUGAAUUCGUCCGUCAAACCCGCCAUUUGUAUGCACCCGAACAUGUUCAAUCGACCUUCGGCGUAAGCGACUUCGUACUGCUAUAGGCUCUAGUUAGGACUUAGAUAUGAACACCCCCCUUCGUUAGAAUCCACCCUAAAGUUUCUUAGUAAACAGGGAUCGUUCAGUAAUGACCUAGUCUUUCGCGAGACUUCAGGUUUACCUCUUUUGUUAGGUCUCGACUUCUCCGUUAUGAUCGCGUUUUGUACCCCUACUAAGAACUUGAGAGACGGAACUAUGACUCACGGAAGCGGUAUAUUAGUGCCUUAUGCGGGAAAUCCUUGCUUGACUUGUUGAUCAUCUAUCAUUACUGGCGAAGCAAGCAUACCGAUAAUCAACUCGCUUGAGAGAACAAUUCGAGAAGGAAGACCCCAAGCCAGCCCAAGCAAGAAAGAGGAACUAAAGUCAACUAAUGCUUAAGACAUCCAAGUUCGGACAUCUAAGCCAGUUCCGGUCCUUCCAUCUGCCUCUAUCUCAAUAGCUUUCAAAAUCGAGUGAUUUGAUUAGCUUACAUCGGAGGAUGGUCUAAAGCUGGCCCUUGCUAUCAGUCCAACCAAGGGCACCCCUUCCUAGUCCGCUUAGUCGGUUGAGUAAACAAACCCGGAUUCUAAUAUGGGUCGAGUAGUGAGUUCCACUUUCUCUUCCGCAGCAAGCCUAGUCUACUUUCGUAAAGUCAACAAGGCCUUACGUUUACCGUUGUUCCCAGACCAUGGCGUAUACCACCAUAGCAAUAGCAUAAGAAGAAUCCGCAUAUUAGUAGGAAUGUUCCUAACUCCUAACCUCUAGACUGAAACUUCACCUGAAAGCAAGGCUUGAGAGCAAAGGAACCCGCGCAUUACACUACCAAUCCUUGGGCUUGGGCUUUACUUAUUCUUAUUUACAACAAAGGAAAAACCAGCCAAGUUCUUCUAAAGUCAUUCUUUUCUNNNNNNNNNNNNNNNNNNNNNNNNNNNNNNNNNNNNNNNNNNNNNNNNNNNNNNNNNNNNNNNNNNNNNNNNNNNNNNNNNNNNNNNNNNNNNNNNNNNNUAAAACCCAGUGAUGGCCAACCGUAUGCAUAGACAACGUCUUGACGGACGUCCACGAACAAAUUUGGCAUUUUUGACGUCGGAAUCCCGAUCACCCAAAAAAUGGUGUGCAAUAGCACACGAAAAUCGUCAAAAUGAGGCGUAUGCUCGCUCCGGGCUCGUUUGACCUUCCAAAUGGCCCAGAAAACCCGUGAUGGCCAACCGUAUGCAUAGACAACGUCUUGACGGACGUCCACGAACAAAUUUGGCAUUUUUGACGUCGGAAUCCCGAUCACCCAAAAAUGGUGUGCAAUAGCACACGAAAAUCGUCAAAAUGAGGCGUAUGCUCGCUCCGGGGCUCGUUUGACCUUCCAAAUGGCCCAGAAAACCCGUGAUGGCCAACCGUAUGCAUAGACAACGUCUUGACGGACGUCCACGAACAAAUUUGGCAUUUUUGACGUCGGAAUCCCGAUCACCCAAAAAAUGGUGUGCAAUAGCACACGAAAAUCGUCAAAAUGAGGCGUAUGCUCGCUCCGGGGCUCGUUUGACCUUCCAAAUGCCCAGAAAAACCCGUGAUGGCCAACCGUAUGCAUAGACAACGUCUUGACGGACGUCCACGAACAAAUUUUGGCAUUUUUGACGUCGGAAUCCCGAUCACCCAAAAAAUGGUGUGCAAUAGCACACGAAAAUCGUCAAAAUGAGGCGUAUGCUCGCUCCGGGGCUCGUUUGACCUUCCAAACGGCCCAGAAAAACCCGUGAUGGCCAACCGUAUGCAUAGACAACGUCUUGACGGACGUCCACGAACAAAUUUGGCAUUUUUGACGUCGGAAUCCCGAUCACCCAAAAAAUGGUGUGCAAUAGCACACGAAAAUCGUCAAAAUGAGGCGUAUGCUCGCUCCGGGGCUCGUUUGACCUUCCAAAUGGCCCAGAAAACCCGUGAUGGCCAACCGUAUGCAUAGACAACGUCUUGACGGACGUCCACGAAACAAAUUUGGCAUUUUUGACGUCGGAAUCCCGAUCACCAAAAAAUGGUGUGCAAUAGCACACGAAAAUCGUCAAAAUGAGGCGUAUGCUCGCUCCGGGGCUCGUUUGACCUUCCAAAUGGCCCAGAAAACCCGUGAUGGCCAACCGUAUGCAUAGACAACGUCUUGACGACGUCCACGAACAAAUUUGGCAUUUUUGACGUCGGAAUCCCGAUCACACCAAAAAAUGGUGUGCAAUAGCACACGAAAAUCGUCAAAAUGAGGCGUAUGCUCGCUCCGGGGCUCGUUUGACCUUCCAAAUGGCCAGAAAACCCGUGAUGGCAACCGUAUGCAUAGACAACGUCUUGACGGACGUCCACGAACAAAUUUGGCAUUUUUGACGUCGGAAUCCCGAUCACCCAAAAAAGGUGUGCAAUAGCACACGAAAAUCGUCAAAAUGAGGCGUAUGCUCGCUCCGGGGCUCGUUUGACCUUCCAAAUGGCCCAGAAAACCCGUGAUGGCCAACCGUAUGCAUAGACAACGUCUUGACGGACGUCCACGAACAAAUUUGGCAUUUUUGACGUCGGAAUCCCGAUCACCCAAAAAAUGUGUGUGCAAUAGCACACGAAAAUCGUCAAAAUGAGGCGUAUGCUCGCUCCGGGGCUCGUUUGACCUUCCAAACGGCCCAGAAAACCCGUGAUGGCCAACCGUAUGCAUAGACAACGUCUUGACGGACGUCCACGAACAAAUUUGGCAUUUUUGACGUCGGAAUCCUGAUCACCCAAAAAAUGGUGUGCAAUAGCACACGAAAAUCGUCAAAAUGAGGCGUAUGCUCGCUCCGGGGCUCGUUUGACCUUCCAAAUGGCCCAGAAAAACCCGUGAUGGCCAACCGUAUGCAUAGACAACGUCUUGACGGACGUCCACGAACAAAUUUGGCAUUUUUGACGUCGGAAUCCGAUCACCCAAAAAAUGGUGUGCAAUAGCACACGAAAAUCGUCAAAAUGAGGCGUAUGCUCGCUCCGGGCUCGUUUGACCUUCCAAAUGACCCAGAAAACCCGUGAUGGCCAACCGUAUGCAUAGACAACGUCUUGACGGACGUCCACGAACAAUUUGGCAUUUUUGACGUCGGAAUCCCGAUCACCCAAAAAAAUGGUGUGCAAUAGCCACCACGAAAUCGUCAAAAUGAGGCGUAUGCUCGCUCCGGGGCUCGUUUGACCUUCCAAAUGGCCCAGAAAACCCGUGAUGGCCAACCGUAUGCAUAGACAACGUCUUGACGGACGUCCACGAACAAAUUUGGCAUUUUUGACGUCGGAAUCCCGAUCACCCAAAAAUGGUGUGCAAUAGCACACGAAAAUCGUCAAAAUGAGGCGUAUGCUCGCUCCGGGGCUCGUUUGACCUUCCAAAUGGCCCAGAAAACCCGUGAUGGCCAACCGUAUGCAUAGACAACGUCUUGACGGACGUCCACGAACAAAUUUGGCAUUUUUGACGUCGGAAUCCCGAUCACCCAAAAAAUGGUGUGCAAUAGCACACGAAAAUCGUCAAAAUGAGGCGUAUGCUCGCUCCGGGGCUCGUUUGACCUUCCAAAUGGCCCAGAAAACCGUGAUGGCCAACCGUAUGCAUAGACAACGUCUUGACGGACGUCCACGAACAAAUUUGGCAUUUUUGACGUCGGAAUCCCGAUCACCCAAAAAAUGGUGUGCAAUAGCACACGAAAAUCGUCAAAAUGAGGGCGUAUGCUCGCUCCGGGGCUCGUUUGACCUUCCAAAUGGCCCAGAAAACCCGUGAUGGCCAACCGUAUGCAUAGACAACGUCUUGACGGACGUCCACGAACAAAUUUGGCAUUUUUGACGUCGGAAUCCCGAUCACCCAAAAAAGGUGUGCAAUAGCACACGAAAAUCGUCAAAAUGAGGCGUAUGCUCGCUCCGGGGCUCGUUUGACCUUCCAAAUGGCCCAGAAAACCCGUGAUGGCCAACCGUAUGCAUAGACAACGUCUUGACGGACGUCCACGAACAAAUUUGGCAUUUUUGACGUCGGAAUCCCGAUCACCCAAAAAAUGGUGUGCAAUAGCACACGAAAAUCGUCAAAAUGAGGCGUAUGCUCGCUCCGGGGCUCGUUUGACCUUCCAAAUGGCCCAGAAAACCCGUGAUGGCCAACCGUAUGCAUAGACAACGUCUUGACGGACGUCCACGAACAAAUUUGGCAUUUUUGACGUCGGAAUCCCGAUCACCCAAAAAAUGGUGUGCAAUAGCACACGAAAAUCGUCAAAAUGAGGCGUAUGCUCGCUCCGGGCUCGUUUGACCUUCCAAACGGCCCAGAAAACCCGUGAUGGCCAACCGUAUGCAUAGACAACGUCUUGACGGACGUCCACGAACAAAUUUGGCAUUUUUGACGUCGGAAUCCUGAUCACCCAAAAAAUGGUGUGCAAUAGCACACGAAAAUCGUCAAAAUGAGGCGUAUGCUCGCUCCGGGGCUCGUUUGACCUUCCAAAUGGCCCAGAAAACCCGUGAUGGCCAACCGUAUGCAUAGACAACGUCUUGACGGACGUCCACGAACAAAUUUGGCAUUUUUGACGUCGGAAUCCCGAUCACCCAAAAAAUGGUGUGCAAUAGCACACGAAAAUCGUCAAAAUGAGGCGUAUGCUCGCUCCGGGGCUCGUUUGACCUUCCAAAUGGCCCAGAAAACCCGUGAUGGCCAACCGUAUGCAUAGACAACGUCUUGACGGACGUCCACGAACAAAUUUGGCAUUUUUGACGUCGGAAUCCUGAUCACCCAAAAAAUGGUGUGCAAUAGCACACGAAAAUCGUCAAAAUGAGGCGUAUGCUCGCUCCGGGGCUCGUUUGACCUUCCAAAUGGCCCAGAAAACCCGUGAUGGCCAACCGUAUGCAUAGACAACGUCUUGACGGACGUCCACGAACAAAUUUGGCAUUUUUGACGUCGGAAUCCCGAUCACCCAAAAAAUGGUGUGCAAUAGCACACGAAAAUCGUCAAAAUGAGGCGUAUGCUCGCUCCGGGGCUCGUUUGACCUUCCAAAUGGCCCAGAAAACCCGUGAUGGCCAACCGUAUGCAUAGACAACGUCUUGACGGACGUCCACGAACAAAUUUGGCAUUUUUGACGUCGGAAUCCGAUCACCCAAAAAAUGGUGUGCAAUAGCACACGAAAAUCGUCAAAAUGAGGCGUAUGCUCGCUCCGGGGCUCGUUUGACCUUCCAAAUGGCCCAGAAAACCCGUGAUGGCCAACCGUAUGCAUAGACAACGUCUUGACGGACGUCCACGAACAAAUUUGGCAUUUUUGACGUCGGAAUCCCGAUCACCCAAAAAAUGGUGUGCAAUAGCACACGAAAAUCGUCAAAAUGAGGCGUAUGCUCGCUCCGGGGCUCGUUUGACCUUCCAAAUGGCCCAGAAAACCCGUGAUGGCCAACCGUAUGCAUAGACAACGUCUUGACGGACGUCCACGAACAAAUUUGGCAUUUUUGACGUCGGAAUCCCGAUCACCCAAAAAAUGGUGUGCAAUAGCACACGAAAAUCGUCAAAAUGAGGCGUAUGCUCGCUCCGGGGCUCGUUUGACCUUCCAAAUGGCCCAGAAAACCCGUGAUGGCCAACCGUAUGCAUAGACAACGUCUUGACGGACGUCCACGAACAAAUUUGGCAUUUUUGACGUCGGAAUCCCGAUCACCCAAAAAAUGGUGUGCAAUAGCACACGAAAAUCGUCAAAAUGAGGCGUAUGCUCGCUCCGGGGCUCGUUUGACCUUCCAAAUGGCCCAGAAAACCCGUGAUGGCCAACCGUAUGCAUAGACAACGUCUUGACGGACGUCCACGAACAAAUUUGGCAUUUUUGACGUCGGAAUCCCGAUCACCCAAAAAAUGGUGUGCAAUAGCACACGAAAAUCGUCAAAAUGAGGCGUAUGCUCGCUCCGGGGCUCGUUUGACCUUCCAAAUGGCCCAGAAAACCCGUGAUGGCCAACCGUAUGCAUAGACAACGUCUUGACGGACGUCCACGAACAAAUUUGGCAUUUUUGACGUCGGAAUCCCGAUCACCCAAAAAAUGGUGUGCAAUAGCACACGAAAAUCGUCAAAAUGAGGCGUAUGCUCGCUCCGGGGCUCGUUUGACCUUCCAAAUGGCCCAGAAAACCCGUGAUGGCCAACCGUAUGCAUAGACAACGUCUUGACGGACGUCCACGAACAAAUUUGGCAUUUUUGACGUCGGAAUCCCGAUCACCCAAAAAAUGGUGUGCAAUAGCACACGAAAAUCGUCAAAAUGAGGCGUAUGCUCGCUCCGGGGCUCGUUUGACCUUCCAAAUGGCCCAGAAAACCCGUGAUGGCCAACCGUAUGCAUAGACAACGUCUUGACGGACGUCCACGAACAAAUUUGGCAUUUUUGACGUCGGAAUCCCGAUCACCCAAAAAAUGGUGUGCAAUAGCACACGAAAAUCGUCAAAAUGAGGCGUAUGCUCGCUCCGGGGCUCGUUUGACCUUCCAAAUGGCCCAGAAAACCCGUGAUGGCCAACCGUAUGCAUAGACAACGUCUUGACGGACGUCCACGAACAAAUUUGGCAUUUUUGACGUCGGAAUCCUGAUCACCCAAAAAAUGGUGUGCAAUAGCACACGAAAAUCGUCAAAAUGAGGCGUAUGCUCGCUCCGGGGCUCGUUUGACCUUCCAAAUGGCCCAGAAAACCCGUGAUGGCCAACCGUAUGCAUAGACAACGUCUUGACGGACGUCCACGAACAAAUUUGGCAUUUUUGACGUCGGAAUCCCGAUCACCCAAAAAUGGUGUGCAAUAGCACACGAAAAUCGUCAAAAUGAGGCGUAUGCUCGCUCCGGGGCUCGUUUGACCUUCCAAACGGCCCAGAAAACCCGUGAUGGCCAACCGUAUGCAUAGACAACGUCUUGACGGACGUCCACGAACAAAUUUGGCAUUUUUGACGUCGGAAUCCCGAUCACCCAAAAAAUGGUGUGCAAUAGCACACGAAAAUCGUCAAAAUGAGGCGUAUGCUCGCUCCGGGGCUCGUUUGACCUUCCAAAUGGCCCAGAAAACCCGUGAUGGCCAACCGUAUGCAUAGACAACGUCUUGACGGACGUCCACGAACAAAUUUGGCAUUUUUGACGUCGGAAUCCCGAUCACCCAAAAAAUGGUGUGCAAUAGCACACGAAAAUCGUCAAAAUGAGGCGUAUGCUCGCUCCGGGGCUCGUUUGACCUUCCAAAUGGCCCAGAAAACCCGUGAUGGCCAACCGUAUGCAUAGACAACGUCUUGACGGACGUCCACGAACAAAUUUGGCAUUUUUGACGUCGGAAUCCCGAUCACCCAAAAAAUGGUGUGCAAUAGCACACGAAAAUCGUCAAAAUGAGGCGUAUGCUCGCUCCGGGGCUCGUUUGACCUUCCAAAUGGCCCAGAAAACCCGUGAUGGCCAACCGUAUGCAUAGACAACGUCUUGACGGACGUCCACGAACAAAUUUGGCAUUUUUGACGUCGGAAUCCCGAUCACCCAAAAAAUGGUGUGCAAUAGCACACGAAAAUCGUCAAAAUGAGGCGUAUGCUCGCUCCGGGGCUCGUUUGACCUUCCAAAUGGCCCAGAAAACCCGUGAUGGCCAACCGUAUGCAUAGACAACGUCUUGACGGACGUCCACGAACAAAUUUGGCAUUUUUGACGUCGGAAUCCCGAUCACCCAAAAAAUGGUGUGCAAUAGCACACGAAAAUCGUCAAAAUGAGGCGUAUGCUCGCUCCGGGGCUCGUUUGACCUUCCAAAUGGCCCAGAAAACCCGUGAUGGCCAACCGUAUGCAUAGACAACGUCUUGACGGACGUCCACGAACAAAUUUGGCAUUUUUGACGUCGGAAUCCCGAUCACCCAAAAAAUGGUGUGCAAUAGCACACGAAAAUCGUCAAAAUGAGGCGUAUGCUCGCUCCGGGGCUCGUUUGACCUUCCAAAUGGCCCAGAAAACCCGUGAUGGCCAACCGUAUGCAUAGACAACGUCUUGACGGACGUCCACGAACAAAUUUGGCAUUUUUGACGUCGGAAUCCCGAUCACCCAAAAAAUGGUGUGCAAUAGCACACGAAAAUCGUCAAAAUGAGGCGUAUGCUCGCUCCGGGGCUCGUUUGACCUUCCAAAUGGCCCAGAAAACCCGUGAUGGCCAACCGUAUGCAUAGACAACGUCUUGACGGACGUCCACGAACAAAUUUGGCAUUUUUGACGUCGGAAUCCGAUCACCCAAAAAAUGGUGUGCAAUAGCACACGAAAAUCGUCAAAAUGAGGCGUAUGCUCGCUCCGGGGCUCGUUUGACCUUCCAAAUGGCCCAGAAAACCCGUGAUGGCCAACCGUAUGCAUAGACAACGUCUUGACGGACGUCCACGAACAAAUUUGGCAUUUUUGACGUCGGAAUCCCGAUCACCCAAAAAAUGGUGUGCAAUAGCACACGAAAAUCGUCAAAAUGAGGCGUAUGCUCGCUCCGGGGCUCGUUUGACCUUCCAAAUGGCCCAGAAAACCCGUGAUGGCCAACCGUAUGCAUAGACAACGUCUUGACGGACGUCCACGAACAAAUUUGGCAUUUUUGACGUCGGAAUCCCGAUCACCCAAAAAAUGGUGUGCAAUAGCACACGAAAAUCGUCAAAAUGAGGCGUAUGCUCGCUCCGGGGCUCGUUUGACCUUCCAAAUGGCCCAGAAAACCCGUGAUGGCCAACCGUAUGCAUAGACAACGUCUUGACGGACGUCCACGAACAAAUUUGGCAUUUUUGACGUCGGAAUCCCGAUCACCCAAAAAAUGGUGUGCAAUAGCACACGAAAAUCGUCAAAAUGAGGCGUAUGCUCGCUCCGGGGCUCGUUUGACCUUCCAAAUGGCCCAGAAAACCCGUGAUGGCCAACCGUAUGCAUAGACAACGUCUUGACGGACGUCCACGAACAAAUUUGGCAUUUUUGACGUCGGAAUCCCGAUCACCCAAAAAAUGGUGUGCAAUAGCACACGAAAAUCGUCAAAAUGAGGCGUAUGCUCGCUCCGGGGCUCGUUUGACCUUCCAAAUGGCCCAGAAAACCCGUGAUGGCCAACCGUAUGCAUAGACAACGUCUUGACGGACGUCCACGAACAAAUUUGGCAUUUUUGACGUCGGAAUCCCGAUCACCCAAAAAAUGGUGUGCAAUAGCACACGAAAAUCGUCAAAAUGAGGCGUAUGCUCGCUCCGGGGCUCGUUUGACCUUCCAAAUGGCCCAGAAAACCCGUGAUGGCCAACCGUAUGCAUAGACAACGUCUUGACGGACGUCCACGAACAAAUUUGGCAUUUUUGACGUCGGAAUCCCGAUCACCCAAAAAAUGGUGUGCAAUAGCACACGAAAAUCGUCAAAAUGAGGCGUAUGCUCGCUCCGGGGCUCGUUUGACCUUCCAAAUGGCCCAGAAAACCCGUGAUGGCCAACCGUAUGCAUAGACAACGUCUUGACGGACGUCCACGAACAAAUUUGGCAUUUUUGACGUCGGAAUCCCGAUCACCCAAAAAAUGGUGUGCAAUAGCACACGAAAAUCGUCAAAAUGAGGCGUAUGCUCGCUCCGGGGCUCGUUUGACCUUCCAAAUGGCCCAGAAAACCCGUGAUGGCCAACCGUAUGCAUAGACAACGUCUUGACGGACGUCCACGAACAAAUUUGGCAUUUUUGACGUCGGAAUCCUGAUCACCCAAAAAAUGGUGUGCAAUAGCACACGAAAAUCGUCAAAAUGAGGCGUAUGCUCGCUCCGGGGCUCGUUUGACCUUCCAAAUGGCCCAGAAAACCCGUGAUGGCCAACCGUAUGCAUAGACAACGUCUUGACGGACGUCCACGAACAAAUUUGGCAUUUUUGACGUCGGAAUCCCGAUCACCCAAAAAAUGGUGUGCAAUAGCACACGAAAAUCGUCAAAAUGAGGCGUAUGCUCGCUCCGGGGCUCGUUUGACCUUCCAAAUGGCCCAGAAAACCCGUGAUGGCCAACCGUAUGCAUAGACAACGUCUUGACGGACGUCCACGAACAAAUUUGGCAUUUUUGACGUCGGAAUCCUGAUCACCCAAAAAAUGGUGUGCAAUAGCACACGAAAAUCGUCAAAAUGAGGCGUAUGCUCGCUCCGGGGCUCGUUUGACCUUCCAAAUGGCCCAGAAAACCCGUGAUGGCCAACCGUAUGCAUAGACAACGUCUUGACGGACGUCCACGAACAAAUUUGGCAUUUUUGACGUCGGAAUCCCGAUCACCCAAAAAAUGGUGUGCAAUAGCACACGAAAAUCGUCAAAAUGAGGCGUAUGCUCGCUCCGGGGCUCGUUUGACCUUCCAAAUGGCCCAGAAAACCCGUGAUGGCCAACCGUAUGCAUAGACAACGUCUUGACGGACGUCCACGAACAAAUUUGGCAUUUUUGACGUCGGAAUCCUGAUCACCCAAAAAAUGGUGUGCAAUAGCACACGAAAAUCGUCAAAAUGAGGCGUAUGCUCGCUCCGGGGCUCGUUUGACCUUCCAAAUGGCCCAGAAAACCCGUGAUGGCCAACCGUAUGCAUAGACAACGUCUUGACGGACGUCCACGAACAAAUUUGGCAUUUUUGACGUCGGAAUCCCGAUCACCCAAAAAAUGGUGUGCAAUAGCACACGAAAAUCGUCAAAAUGAGGCGUAUGCUCGCUCCGGGGCUCGUUUGACCUUCCAAAUGGCCCAGAAAACCCGUGAUGGCCAACCGUAUGCAUAGACAACGUCUUGACGGACGUCCACGAACAAAUUUGGCAUUUUUGACGUCGGAAUCCCGAUCACCCAAAAAAUGGUGUGCAAUAGCACACGAAAAUCGUCAAAAUGAGGCGUAUGCUCGCUCCGGGGCUCGUUUGACCUUCCAAAUGGCCCAGAAAACCCGUGAUGGCCAACCGUAUGCAUAGACAACGUCUUGACGGACGUCCACGAACAAAUUUGGCAUUUUUGACGUCGGAAUCCCGAUCACCCAAAAAAUGGUGUGCAAUAGCACACGAAAAUCGUCAAAAUGAGGCGUAUGCUCGCUCCGGGGCUCGUUUGACCUUCCAAAUGGCCCAGAAAACCCGUGAUGGCCAACCGUAUGCAUAGACAACGUCUUGACGGACGUCCACGAACAAAUUUGGCAUUUUUGACGUCGGAAUCCCGAUCACCCAAAAAAUGGUGUGCAAUAGCACACGAAAAUCGUCAAAAUGAGGCGUAUGCUCGCUCCGGGGCUCGUUUGACCUUCCAAAUGGCCCAGAAAACCCGUGAUGGCCAACCGUAUGCAUAGACAACGUCUUGACGGACGUCCACGAACAAAUUUGGCAUUUUUGACGUCGGAAUCCCGAUCACCCAAAAAAUGGUGUGCAAUAGCACACGAAAAUCGUCAAAAUGAGGCGUAUGCUCGCUCCGGGGCUCGUUUGACCUUCCAAAUGGCCCAGAAAACCCGUGAUGGCCAACCGUAUGCAUAGACAACGUCUUGACGGACGUCCACGAACAAAUUUGGCAUUUUUGACGUCGGAAUCCCGAUCACCCAAAAAAUGGUGUGCAAUAGCACACGAAAAUCGUCAAAAUGAGGCGUAUGCUCGCUCCGGGGCUCGUUUGACCUUCCAAAUGGCCCAGAAAACCCGUGAUGGCCAACCGUAUGCAUAGACAACGUCUUGACGGACGUCCACGAACAAAUUUGGCAUUUUUGACGUCGGAAUCCCGAUCACCCAAAAAAUGGUGUGCAAUAGCACACGAAAAUCGUCAAAAUGAGGCGUAUGCUCGCUCCGGGGCUCGUUUGACCUUCCAAAUGGCCCAGAAAACCCGUGAUGGCCAACCGUAUGCAUAGACAACGUCUUGACGGACGUCCACGAACAAAUUUGGCAUUUUUGACGUCGGAAUCCUGAUCACCCAAAAAAUGGUGUGCAAUAGCACACGAAAAUCGUCAAAAUGAGGCGUAUGCUCGCUCCGGGGCUCGUUUGACCUUCCAAAUGGCCCAGAAAACCCGUGAUGGCCAACCGUAUGCAUAGACAACGUCUUGACGGACGUCCACGAACAAAUUUGGCAUUUUUGACGUCGGAAUCCCGAUCACCCAAAAAAUGGUGUGCAAUAGCACACGAAAAUCGUCAAAAUGAGGCGUAUGCUCGCUCCGGGGCUCGUUUGACCUUCCAAAUGGCCCAGAAAACCCGUGAUGGCCAACCGUAUGCAUAGACAACGUCUUGACGGACGUCCACGAACAAAUUUGGCAUUUUUGACGUCGGAAUCCGAUCACCCAAAAAAUGGUGUGCAAUAGCACACGAAAAUCGUCAAAAUGAGGCGUAUGCUCGCUCCGGGGCUCGUUUGACCUUCCAAAUGGCCCAGAAAACCCGUGAUGGCCAACCGUAUGCAUAGACAACGUCUUGACGGACGUCCACGAACAAAUUUGGCAUUUUUGACGUCGGAAUCCCGAUCACCCAAAAAAUGGUGUGCAAUAGCACACGAAAAUCGUCAAAAUGAGGCGUAUGCUCGCUCCGGGGCUCGUUUGACCUUCCAAAUGGCCCAGAAAACCCGUGAUGGCCAACCGUAUGCAUAGACAACGUCUUGACGGACGUCCACGAACAAAUUUGGCAUUUUUGACGUCGGAAUCCGAUCACCCAAAAAAUGGUGUGCAAUAGCACACGAAAAUCGUCAAAAUGAGGCGUAUGCUCGCUCCGGGGCUCGUUUGACCUUCCAAAUGGCCCAGAAAACCCGUGAUGGCCAACCGUAUGCAUAGACAACGUCUUGACGGACGUCCACGAACAAAUUUGGCAUUUUUGACGUCGGAAUCCCGAUCACCCAAAAAAUGGUGUGCAAUAGCACACGAAAAUCGUCAAAAUGAGGCGUAUGCUCGCUCCGGGGCUCGUUUGACCUUCCAAAUGGCCCAGAAAACCCGUGAUGGCCAACCGUAUGCAUAGACAACGUCUUGACGGACGUCCACGAACAAAUUUGGCAUUUUUGACGUCGGAAUCCCGAUCACCCAAAAAAUGGUGUGCAAUAGCACACGAAAAUCGUCAAAAUGAGGCGUAUGCUCGCUCCGGGGCUCGUUUGACCUUCCAAAUGGCCCAGAAAACCCGUGAUGGCCAACCGUAUGCAUAGACAACGUCUUGACGGACGUCCACGAACAAAUUUGGCAUUUUUGACAUCGGAAUCCCGAUCACCCAAAACGAACUAGGUUAAAAUAGAGCCUCUCAUGUGCUUAAAGAGUUAAAAUGAAUAACGUGUCUCCUUAGAAUUCGUAAAUUGUGAAAAACUAAACCAUAUUAAAUAGCUGACCACGUAGAUCUCGAAAAAAUAUGCAGAAAAAAAAAAUCGCGUGAAACGGAUAUUGGAGGCAAAAGUUUUAAUCAUUUGAAGUUUGACCCAAUUAAAGAGUGAAACUCAAAAAAAGUAGUUGUAAAUUUGUGAAAUUGCAAACGGUCAUAACUUUUGACUCGGAUGUCCGAUUGAGGCGAUUUUUUUUUGAAAUUGGAUAUUUUUUCGAGAUCUAUGCGAUCAAACUGCCGAAUGGCGGUUUGGACGAGCCGAUUUUUCAAUAAACGUCUUUUAUCACAUUCAAUUUUAAAUUUCCCCCAAACUUGAAGAAAAUUGUAAUUCUUUAUUGGUACAAAUCUGAUAAAAGAAAAUAGAUUUUUGAGUUCGAAGUACCUUGGUAACGCAUCUCAGAAUGUCUAUUUUAAUGUUAGACACUCAAUUUUAUGAUAAAACUCUUUUAUCGCGUUCAAUUUUACGUUUCCCCCAAUUUGUGCAUAAGGAUUUGUUCCUCAAAUGGGUUUAUUCAUUUUUUUGGGUAAUUUUUUGUCUCUUUUUUUUUGGUUUGCGUUAUUUUUUUAUUAUAUUUUUUUAUUCUGUUUUUUUGCGUCGAUUUUUUUUGUUUUUUUUGGUAAAUUUUUUUUGGGUUUAUUUUUUUGUCCUUUUUGUUUGCAUCUUUUUUUUCCUCCCUUUUUUAGCAUUUUUUUGCUUAUUUUAUUUUGUCAAAUUUUUUUAUGCGAGUUUUUUUUUGCAUCCCUGUUUUUUGGCGUUUUUUUUGGUAAUUUUUUUAUCCGUUUUUUUUUGUGUUUUUUUAUAUCUGGGUUUUUUAUUUUUUGCGUAGCUUUGUUUUUUUUGGUAAAUUAUUUUUAUCCGUUUUUUUUGUUUUUUUUCCAGCGGUUUUUUUUAAUUUUGGUAAUUGUUUUUUAUUCGGGGUUUUUUUAGCGUUCUCUUCAAUUUUGUGUGAAAAAUCCACAUUGGAUCACCACUAACAUGUCUGUUCCAACACUGUUCCACAGUUGAUAAAAAUGUUUCAUUCUCAGUCCAGCAAUUGAGGAAUUUGAAAUAUUUAAUCACUGGUAUCUGAUUAUUACACAUUUCCAUAAAUAAAGGAGAGUGAUAUGAUCCAACUGAAGGAAGAUGAGUGAUAGUACUUUGAGGCAUCCUAUCAAGCCAUUUGUCAUUAACCAUACCCCUAUCUAACCUUUUCCAAAUUCUAGCACCAUCCUUCCUGUGGUUACACCAUUUAUAAUGCUGACCAUUAUACCCCAUAUCAACUAAGCCACAGGCCUCAAUAAUACUAAUAAAUUCAAGACUCUUAUUCAUGUUGUAUUCUCUACCCCCAAGUUUUUCUUGAGUAGAGGAGAUAACAUUAAAGUCUCCAAUAGUUCACCAAGUCUCCAAUAGGGUUUAGGGUUUAGGGUUUAGGGUUUAGGGUUUAGGGUUUAGGGUUUUGGGGUUUGGGGUUUGGGGUUUGGGGUUUGGGGUUUGGGAUUGGGGUUAGGGGUUUGGGGUUUGGGGUUUGGGGGGGUUUCGGGUUUGGGGUUUGGGGUUGGGGGUUCGGGGUUGGGGUUUGGGGUUCGGGGUUCGGGGUUUGGGGUUUGGGGUUUGGGGUUUGGGGUUUGGGGUUUGGGUUUUGGGGUUUGGGGUUUGGGGUUUGGGGUUUGGGGUUUAGGGUUUAGGGUUUUUUUUUUUGGUAAACGACCCUUGGAGUGGGUCAGGGGCUUAGCAACACCCCCAGGCCUUAACAUAUAUAUGAACAAAAUUUUACAAGAAGGGGGGCAUUGACCUUACCUUCUAAAAUUUGGUAGGUAUGUAAUUGACUUAUCUACUAAGAUAGUCAAUUACACCCUUAUACAAUAAGAUGCACAAUUAGAAUGUAAUACCUAGAGAGGACUCCUCUCUUAAUACAUUUUCUAAUAAGCAUAAAUGAGGGAGACUCUCCCCUUACAUGGAUAAUGAAAUUAAUAAACCUAUUCUACCAACUAAAACAGUCAAUGAAUAAGUUUAAUGACAUUAGAAUUACAACUUAAGUAUAGAAAUUGUAUCUAGGGAGGAUGUUUUAUUCUCUUGAGUUUCCUUCUUCUAAAAUUCUGGAUACCCAUCUUCUCCAAUAUAUAACUUCUUCUAAUUGCUCCCUUGAGUUGUGUUGUUGUAUAAAAAUGUUGAAGUAUUUCCAGCUUGUGGCUCCAUUUAGCUAGCAUGUCUGCAGUACAGUUUGCUUCUCUGUAUUUGUGAUGACACUGAAAAUGAUCCAAUUUCCUAACUAUUUGUUGAAUUUGCUGGAUAGUUUCUUCAUAUCUCCAUGGUAUCUUGAUUGUAUUAUUGAUCCAAUUGCACAGCAGCUCUGAAUCCACUUCUAACUCAAUGUUUUUGUAGCCAUGUUGUUCACUCCAGUCCAGCCCAUAUAGUGCAGCCUUGAUCUCUACAAUAUUAUUAGUACCAAGACCUAGAGGUAAAGAAAAAGCAUAAACUAUUUUACCUUGAUGAUUUCUUAGUAUUCCACCUCCUCCAAUCUUACCUGAAUUCUGUAGGGCACUCCCAUCUGUGUUUAAUUUGUAAAUACCUAAGUCUGGCUUAUUCCAGCUUACCAUUACAAUUUUAUAUUGCUGUUGACAAUGCUCUAUUAUAUUCAUCAGAUUAUUCCAACUAGAUUGCCAUGGUAUAAUAGGAAAUACAGUUUUAAUAAUAUGCAUAACAUCCUUGAAUAUUCCAUACUGAACUCUAUGUAUGCUGGAACUUUUCUUCCCAUAUUUGACUGUACACCUGUUUUUCCAAAGAUUCCAACAAAUAAUAUUAGGUAUAAUAUGGAUGAAUAAUUUAUAUACCUCAUUAGUAGCUUGCUGAUUCCUCCAGUGUAGUAAUUGAUCUCUUAAAGUAGUAUUAACUGGCACUACUCCAACUGUGGAUGCAUGAAACUUCCAUAUGUAUUUAGCAAAGUUGCCAUUAAUCAAUAUGUGAUUAAUGUCAUCUUUGCCUUUACUGUGACAACAAUAACAAUCUGAAAUAUCUUUUCCAAAUUUCUGCAAAAUUUCAUUAGUAGGUAACUUACCUUUUAAAGCUCUCCAAAUAAAGAAGGAUAUUUUAAAAGGUAAGUGUUUAUGCCAUAUUAAGUUAUUAAUAGGGUCUAUAUGUCUCUUCUUUCUAAUACACUCCCAUGCAGAUGCAAUAGUAAAGUUACCAGAUUCAGUAGGCAUCCAACUUGCAGUAUCCUUUUUCCCAUCUUUAUAAUUGAAAUUAGUUUGCAAAAUCUUGGGUAUCAACAAAGAUGGAACAUGCUGUCUAAGUAAACUUUCAUUCCAUUUACCAUCCUUUAAGAAAUCAGCUACAACACUGUUGUUAAUACUAGAAAUAUGAUCACAAUGAUAGGCAAUAGAUUCAUUAUCUAACCAGUUAUCCCACCAAAAGCUGCUAUUACCUGAAUGAAUAUGCCAUUUAAUGAGAGAUUCCACCUUAGUUCUAUUUCUAGUAAGAUAUCUCCAGACUAUAGAAUCACCAGUGUCAUAUUUUUUGGCCACAGGAUUGGCUCUUUGACAAUACUUGGCUUUUAUAAAAAGACUCCACAAAGAGUUUUUGGUUCUAAAAUUCCACCACUGCUUAUAUUGAAAAGCAGUACAUAUAUCUUCAAGCCUUCUCACUCCAAUGCCUCCUUCCAUAAUAGGAUAAGCCAUAUUCUCCCAUGAAGACCAAUGGUAUUUCUUACCAUCUUUAUCUAUACCCCAAAAGAAAUCAGCCAUUACCUUUUUAAUACUAUUUAAAGUAGUUUUGGGAGGUGAAAUAGCAGCAAGUGUAUGAAUUGGAAUGGAUUGCAAUACAUGCUUCACUAAGGUAGUUUUGCCUCCAAAAUUUAACAUUUUUGAAUGCCAACCUGCAAUUUUUUUUAUCACCUUAUCAAUCAUCUCACAGUAAUAUAUAAUCCUUUGCCUACCAAUAUACAAAGGACAUCCAAGAUAAUUGAUAGGGCUGUAUUUUCUACUAAAACCAGUAGCGCUUUUGAUUUCCUCUAUGGUAUCUUGACUAGUAUUAGAGGUUACCAUAAAGAAACUUUUGAGUUUAUUUACUUUCUGAUCAGACACUUCUUCAUAUUCUUCAAUAGUCUUCAUAAUGAGAUUAAGAGAGUUACUAUCAGUAGAGGUAAAAAUAAUUAUAUCAUCAGCAAAGCUAAGAUGGUUAAUUUAGGGACCAUUGUUUUCCAUAUAAAAUCCUCUGUACAACUUAUUUUGGUAUAGAAGACUAAGCUGUCUUGAAAGAACUUCAGCACCUAAAAUAAAUAAUGCUGGAGACAAUGGAUCACCUUGUUUAAGUCCUCUCUUAGAAUGAAAAAAUCCAUGUCUCUUCCCAUUAAUGACUAUAGAGUACCAAUUAUUACUCAUAAUCCUCCACACUCUAUCAAUAAACAAUUCACUAAAUCCCAUUUUUCUUAACACAAUGCAAGUAUAAUUCCAUGAAACUCUAUCAUAUGCUUUCUCCAUGUCCAGUUUAAUGACUACAUUACUACCUUCUCUUGGUUUCUUAAUCCCAUGAAUAAUUUCCUGAGCCAACAAAAUGUUCUCAGAAAUGUUCCUUCCUUUGACAAAACCUGAUUGAGUUUCUGAAACAAUACAAGGUAAAAUGGAUGCCAAUCUAGUGCUCAUAAUCUUAGAGAUGAUUUUAUUGGAAAAAUUACUAAGGCUUAUAGGUCUGAACUCCUUAAUUUUACAGGGAUGGUCUACUUUAGGCAGUAAUAUGAGACAAGAGUGAGUCAUAUAUUUUGGCAUAGGGUUACCACUAUAAAAGUACUUAACAGCAGCCAACAGAUCAUUUUUUAUAAUACCAAAGCAACUUUGGUAAAAUUUUCCUCCAAAACCAUCCGGACCAGGUGCAGAAUUAGGAUUCAUACUCAUUAUGAUCUUUCUCAACUCAUCUUCAUUAGGCAGCCUAUCUAACUUCUUAUUUUGUUCUUGAGUGAUUGAAGUAUUGAUACACUGAAGAGUUUCUUCCUUAAUUUUCUCAUUCUUACCAGUAAAAAUCUCCUCAUAAUAAUCACAAGCAUGUCUGGCAAUCUGUUCUUCUCCAUUAAUCCAGUUCCCACUGUCAUCCAUCAACUUAUGAAUAGCCAUUCUAUUUCUUUUACCUCUAAUCAAAGCAUGAAAAUAUUUGGUGUUUGCAUCACCCUCUUUUAGCCAAUGUAACUUAGUUUUCUGCUGGAGAACAUUAUAUUCAACCUUCAAAAAUUUAAUAUAAUUAGCAUUCACAGCAUUCAACUUUUCUCUAUUUUCAACACAAUUAUUGAGGACCAUAUCAUUUUCAGCUUGUUUUACCAGCUCCUCAUAGUGUUUUACCCUUUCAAAAACAUCACCAUAUUCCUGUUUUGACCAAUUUCUCAAGGUAUUAGUUAAUCUCCUCAAUUUUGUAUGUAAAAUCCACAUAGGAUUUCCAGUGGCAGCUCUAUUCCAACAUUGUUCCACAGUUGAUAAAAAAGAAUCAUUUUCAGUCCAACAAUUCAGAAAUCUAAAAUAUUUAAUAAUGUUGGAUUGAAUAUCACCAAUUUCCAUUAAUAAAGGACUAUGAUCAGAUCCAAUUGAAGGAAGAUGAGUAAUACUAGAAUGAGGCAUUAUGUCAAUCCAUUUAUCAUUAGUCAUACCUCUAUCCAAUCUUUUCCAAAUUCUUGCACCAUCCCUCCUAUGAUUACACCAUGUAUAAUUUUGACCAUAAUAACCCAUGUCUACUAAUCCACAAGCCUCAAUAAUACUAAUAAAUUCCAAACUCUUGUUUAUGUUAUAAUCUCUACCACCCAGUUUCUCACUAGUAGAAGUUAUAACAUUAAAAUCCCCUAAUACACACCAAGGAUUCAUACUUUCAGAUCUCUUUAGCAUAACAUCCCAAAGAGGUUUUCUCAACUGAUCCUUACACUUAGCAUAAACAUAAGUCAUGUUGAAUUUCUCCCUGCAAGUUUCAUGUCUAACCUCACAAGUCACCUGUUGUUGAUCACUUUCCAGGAUAUCACAAGUAAUUUCAUUAGACCAAAAAAGCCAAAUUUUGUUAUUAGAAUUACUAUAACUAUGAUCCAUGAGUAAUUGAAGUCUGUAAGCAUCUAUAUGAUCAUAACUGGAAAAAGGUUCUAAAAUAGCCAUCAUAGAAAUAUUAUGAAGUUUUUUGAGAUUAAUCAGCCUCUCAAGAGCACCAAAAGUAUUGAUACUCCUAACAUUCCAACAUAAAAACUUAAUCAUUAAAUUCCUCUACUUCUAGCUCUAGUAUUAGGUUUACUAGUACUAGUAAGUUUAUUUUGCUUCACAAGCUUUCUUCCUCUAGGUGAUAGACCCUGUUUGCCAGUUACAUCUCUAAUUUCAUCUACAUUAGAAGGCUGUAACAUAGGAUCUUUUUGAAUUUGGUCAGAAGUGUUAAGUUCCUCUCCUGGUUCUAUACCCUCUCCUAAAGAUUGAGUAUCCACAUCAUACUCAUCUUCAGAAUCAGGCUCCCUAUACUCAUCAAAAUUACUUUGAUGAUCAGUAGGGACAUUACCAGAAGUAGAAGGAUUUUUAUUAUUAUUUUUUAAAUUAGUCUGUAGAAGAGGAUUAUGAAUAUUUUUAUCAGGGGGUUCUUUUGCAACAUUGCUACAUUCCCCAUAUUCAAAAACUUUAUCUUUGCCUUUAUCAAAUCUAGUAUGUUGAGACCUAUUAUCCACCUGACCUCUUCCAACCUCACCUCCAUCAGCUACUCCAAUAUUGUCACUACAAAGGGCUGCAGGGGAGGGGAGCAUUGAGUCAAUACCUGAUUUAUUAAUAUUUGCUUGAUGAUAAACCACUUGUUGAGUAUUAGUGGCCUGACUUUCCAACCUUGGUUGUUUAUUUCUUUUUUCCUGCUGUACAUGAGCUCUUUCUGAAUAUGCAUUACUUUGUUCAUGCACUUGAUCAUUGUGUUGCUCCAUUACUUCUCCAGCAGGUGUUAGUUCCUGUGAUUCAAGAUCAAUAUAGGUGUUUUUAGUAGGGAUAUUAAUUAUACCUGCUUGAAAUUGCUGUGCUUGGUGAACAGUCUUUUCAUUGUUGAAUCUAACUUGUUGAUUGUUAUUCUUUCUUCUUUGUGUUUGCCAUGUAUCUUGCAUACCAUGCUGCUGAGUUUCAUCACCUUGCUGUCUUGGUUGAUUGUAAUCUGGCUCAUUUCUACCAGUUUCCUUGUUCUGAUCAAUCUGUAAUUCUGCAUGGACAGUUUGAGCAAUGUCUUUCCUAUUCUUGUUUUUAUCUAACUCUUUUCUUUUUUUAUUUUCCUCAUCCCUUUGUUUUAUAAUACAGUCAGACUCCUUGUGACCUUGAUGUUUGCAAUAAAAACAGUAAUUUGGAAUACUAUCAUACUCAAUCUUUUGCCACCUCCCAUCAGUAAUAUCUUCACCUAUAUACCCCAUCCAAAUGUGAGGGGGUCUGUCCUUUGUUAAGUCCACUUGCACUUUAACUCUAGCUUGACUCCCUCUUGUUUUAUUAAUAGAGGCAGAAUCAAGAUACAAAACUCUACCUAUGGGUGAAAGAAGACUAGUAAUGAAUUGUUUAUUGUAACAAUGCCAUGGCAAUUCAGGCAAUGAAAUCCAUAUUGGAACUAGGGGUGUUUCUUCCUCAGGUGUAAAAUUAGGUGUCCAGGCUUGGAUUCUCAUUACUUGACCUGCUAUAGUCAUUCUUUGUUUAGUCCAUACCAUAUUAUAGUCUAAUUCAUUAUCAAGAUCAAUGUAGACAUGUCUUGAAUUAAAGUGAGCUAUUUUAACUCCCCCAGACAAUUGAGUUUGUAAUAUAAAAUUUUUCCUAAUUAACUCAAUUCUAGGCAUGGUAUAGAUGAAUUUUCCUAUCAAAGUGAAUUUACAGGUAGCAGCUAGGUUUUUAACUACUUCUUCCUUAACAUAUAACACAGCUGGGAGUCCUUGCUUAGUAGUAAUCUCAGGUUCAGUAAGCUUAAUGCUCUCCCCUUUCUUGGAUUGAUUAUAUCUAAGUCUAUCAGCAUAUGUUUGAAUGACAGUAUAAGGGGCAGGUUCAGGUAUUUGGUCCUUCUUAUUGAAAGUGUUAGUUUCUGAAGAAGGAUCAUGAUUUGCAUUCUUAGUUCGAGGUAAAGGUCUAUCAAAAUUACUAGACACUUUAGGAAAAUUUUGUUGAUAAUCAAGAUUUCUAACAGAAUCAAUGUUAAUUCUAUCAGUAAUAUUCACCAAGCUAUCAUUCUUGGAGUUGAAAUUGGUAGAAACUAGAUUACCUUGCCCAUUAUUAGCUCUAACAGGAAUUUCAGAAGAAGGCAUACCAGAUUGACGAAUUUGAUAAGGAUGAACAGCAUCCUUAGAAGCAAGAAUUCGUGUAGUCCUUGGAUUUUGUUGUUCCAUAUCUUUUUCUUUAUUGAAAUUGAAAUUUCUUUGUUGAUUUGUAACAGAUCGAUUCACCUGUUGAUGUUGACCAUCACUAAAUUGUUGUUCCCUUCCUUGCGAAUCGAUCUUCUCACCUCCCAGUCGUAAAUCAACUAAUCUAUCAUCUUUUGCUCCACCAAUCUGUUGAAUAUGUGAAUCGCGACCUAGAUUGUGCGAUUCUUGUCGAUUAUCAUACGAAUGAACUGGUGUUGAGCUCGAUUUUGCCGCCGCUGCUUGCGAUGCAAUUUUUCCAUCGCCCAUCUGUUCUUCGCCACUUUCAAUUGCGCCUUCUUUACGAUUAAGAUUGUAAUCUUUUUCAGUGUUGUGACGCGAAGCAUCGAUGUCAGCCUCUAUCGUCGCUACCUGGAUCGCUUCUUCCUUCCUUUGCGACGAGGAAGACGAUGCAGAAUCCGUCACUUCGUGGAUUUGCGAAUGAAUUGUUGGAUUUCCAGUUUCUAUCGGAGGAUCUGGUGGCUUAACACGCUCAUCCACUGGAUUUCCAUCCAUUACAACUCACAAUUUUCCAGGAAAUUAGCUGAUUAACUAAUUCUUACGAUGAACACCUUGCAAAAUUUUUAGAGAGAGAAAAUUUUUUUAGAGAGAGAAAAUUUUUAGAGAGAGAAAAUUUCCGUGAAAUGAGAAAGCGAUAGGGUUUAGGUUUAGGGUUUAGGGUUUAGGGUUUAGGGUUUAGGGUUUAGGGUUUUUUUUUUAUAAAACGACCCUUGGAGUGGGUCAGGGGCUUAGCAUCACCCCCAGGCCUUAUCAUUUCAUGAAAAUCAAAAUUACAAGAAGGGGGACUAGACCUUACCUUCUAUGAUUUGGUAGGUAUGUAUUGAUACAUCUACUAAGAUAUAUCAAUAUAACCUUAUACAAUAAGAUGCCUAGCUAUGGAAAUAAAUCCUAAGAAAGCUUAAAUUAGGGAGACUCUCCCUUUUACAAGAUUGGAAAUGAAAUAGUAAACUUAUAUUGCUAACACAGUCAAUAAAAGUUUAAUGUCAAUUGUAAUAUUACACAUAUGAAUAUGAAAACACUAAGGAGGAUGUUUAAUUCUCUUGAGCUUCCUUCUUCUAAAAUUUUGUAUGCCCAUCUUUUCCAACACAUAACUUCCUCUAAUUGUUCCUUGGAGUUGUCUUAUUGUAUAGAAAUGUUGAGGUAUUUCCAAAUUGUGACUCCAUUUGGAUAACAUAUCAGCUGUACAGUUUGCUUCUCUAAAUAUAUGAUGACAUUGAAAAUGAUCCAUUUUCCUAGCUAUCUGUUGAAUUUGUUGGACAGUUUCAGCACAUCUCCAAGGUAUAUUGAUUGUGUUGUUGAUCCAUUGACAUAGUAACUCUGAAUCUACUUCCAACUCUAUUUUUUUGUAGCCAUGUUGCUCACACCAACUCAGCCCAUAUAGUGCAGCCUUAAUCUCUGCAAUAUUGUUAGUACCAAUGCCAAAUGGUAAAGAAAAAGCAAAAAUUAUUUUACCUUGAUAAUUCCUUAGAAUUCCUCCUCCUCCAAUCUGUCCUGAACUAUGCAAACAACUACCAUCUGUAUUGAGUUUAUAAUUAUCUAUACCUGGUUUAGUCCAGCUUACCAUGAUUAUCUUGUAUUGUUGUUGACAUUGCUCUAUUAGAUUGAUCAAAUUGCUCCAACUAGAUUGCCAUGGUAUGGUAGGAAAAACUGUUUUGAUAACCUGCAUCACAUCUUUAAAUAUGCCAUAUUUCACUUUGUAUAUGCUUGACUUCUUCCUUCCAUACUUGACAGAACACCUGUUCUUCCAUAGAUUCCAACAAAUGAGAAUAGGUAAAAUAUGUAAAAGAAGUUUGUGUACCUCAUUUUUUGAUUGCAGAUUUUUCCAUUGCAGUAAGUGAUGUUUCAAGGUAGUAUGAGCUGGAAUUACUCCAACUGUUGAUGCAUGAAUCCUCCAAAUAUAUUUGGCAAAUGUGCCAUUAAUAAGUAUGUGGUUAAUAUCAUCUUUACCUUUAUUAUAGCAACAAUAACAAUCAGAUAUCUCAAGACCCAACCUCUGUAGGAUUUCAUUAGUGGGCAAUUUACCUUUUAAAGCUCUCCAAAUAAAGAAAGUUAUUUUAAAAGGUAGGUGUUUAUGCCAUAUAAAAUUAUUUAUAGGAUCAGUGUUUCUUUUCUUUCUAAUGUUUUCCCAUGCAGAUGCAAUAGUAAAGUUGCCAGACUCAACAGGAAUCCAUAUAGCAGUGUCUUUUUGCCUUGGUUUAAAAUUGAUAGUUGUUUGAAGAAUAUUAGGUAUCAACCAAGGGGGUACAUGUUGUCUCAAUAAUCUUUCAUUCCAUUGCCCAUUUAUUAAGAAAUCAGCUAUAAUACUGUUAUUUAAACUAGAUAUAUGAUCACAUUGAUUGGCAAGAGUUUCAAUAUCCAACCAAUUGUCCCACCAGAAGCUUGAAUUACCAGAAUUGAUAUGCCAUUUAAUAAGAGGUUCUACCUUGUGUCUAUUUCUUGUUAAAUAUCUCCAUACUAAAGAAUCCCCAGUAUCAUAUUUUUUAGCCACAGGAUUGGCUCUUUGACAGUAUUUGGCUUUCAAAAAUUGACUCCACAAGGAAUUUUUGGUUCUAAACUCCCACCAUUGCUUAUAUUGAAAGGCAGUACAGAUUUCUUCAAGUGAUCUUACACCAAUACCUCCUUCAUUAGUUGGAUAUGUCAUAUUUUCCCAUGAAGACCAAUGGUAUUUCUUUCCAUCUUUGUCUAUCCCCCAAAAGAAAUCAGCCAUAAUUUUUGUAAUACAGUUUAAAGUUGUUUUUGGAGGAGAAAUAGCAGCAAGUGUAUGAAUAGGGAUAGAUUGUAAUACAUGCUUCACCAAAGUAAUUUUGCCUCCAAAAUUUAGAAUUUUGGAAUGCCAACCAGCAAUUCUUUUGAUCACCUUUUCAACAACCUCAGAGUAAUAGAUAACUCUUUGUCCUCCAAAAUAUAGAGGGCAUCCAAGAUAGUUAAUAGGGCUAUUCUUCCUACCAAAUCCAGUAAUCCUCUUUAUUUCAUCUAUAAUAGCUGAAUUAGUUUUAGGUGUUACCAUAAAGAAACUUUUUUCCUUAUUUACAUUUUGAUCAGAAACUUCCUCAUACUGUUCAAUAAUCUUCAUUACAUGAUGAAGAGAAUAAUUAUCAGUAGAGGUAAAAAUGAUUAUAUCAUCUGCAAAACUAAGAUGAUUAAUUCUAGGACCAUUAAUCUCCAUAUGGAACCCUCUAUAUAACUGAUUUUGGUGAAGUAGAUUGAGUUGUCUUGAAAGGACUUCAGCACCUAGGAUAAAUAAUGCUGGAGAUAGUGGAUCACCCUGUUUAAGCCCCCUCUUAGAUUUGAAAAAACCAUGCCUCUUGCCAUUAAUAACAAUAGAGUACCAAUUAUUACUCAUAAUCCUCCAAACUCUAUCAAUGAACACUUCACUAAAUCCCAUUUUUCUCAAAACAAGGCAAGUAUAGGUCCAUGAAACUCUAUCAUAGGCUUUACUCAUGUCCAGCUUAAUGACUAUAUUACUACCUUCUCUAGGUUUUUUAAUACCAUGGAUAAUCUCCUGAGCCAACAGGAUGUUCUCAGAGAUGCUUCUACCUUUGACAAAACCUGAUUGGUUUUCAGAUACUAUACUAGGUAGGAUGGCUGCCAAUCUAGUACUAAAGAUCUUAGAGAUGAUCUUAUUGGUGAAGUUACUAAGACUGAUAGGUCUGUAAUCUUUGAGUCUGCAGGGGUGAUCAAUCUUAGGUAGAAGGAUUAGACAAGCAUGAGUCAUAUAUUUAGGCAUAAUAUUACCACUAAAAAAAUAUCUAACAGCAGCCAACAGAUCUUCUUUAAUAAUAUCAAAGCAUACUUGAAAGAAUCUUCCACCAAAACCAUCAGGACCAGGGGCUGAAUUAGGAUUCAUACUCAUAAUGAUCCUUUUCAAUUCAUCCUCAUCAGGUAAUCUGUCUAAUGAUUCAUUUUGUUCAUGAGUGAUACCUUUAUUAAGACACUGGAGAUACUCUUCAUUAAUCUUAUCAGAAUUUCCAUUAAAAAUCUCCUCAUAAUAAUCACAAGCCAUUUUAGCAAUAUUGUCUUCCCCUUGGAUCCAAGCUCCACUAUCUUCCAUCAUUUUGUGUAUAGCCAUUCUAUUUCUUUUACCUCUAAUCACAGCAUGAAAAUAUUUGGUAUUUGCAUCCCCCUCCUUUAGCCAGUGCAUUUGAGUUUUCUGCUGUAAAAUAUUAUAUUCAAGCUUCAAAUACUUAAUGUAAUUAGCAUUGACAGCUUUCAAUCUCUCCCUAUUUGCAGAAUUAUUAUUAAUAACCAGAUUAUUUUCAGCCUCCUUUACCAAUUCCUCAUACUUCUUCACCUUAUCAAAUAUAUCCCCAUACUCAUGUUUUGACCAUUCUCUCAAUGUUCUAGUUAACCUCUUCAUCUUUGUAUGUAAACUCCACAUAGGAUUACCACUCACAGCUCUUUUCCAGCACUCUUCCACAAUAGAUAAGAAUGAAACAUUCUCAGUCCAACAAUUCAAAAAUUUAAAAUAUUUGGUAAUAUUAGUCUGUGCAUUACUAAUUUCCAACAAUAAAGGACUGUGAUCUGAUCCUAUAGAUGGAAGAUGAGUAAUGCUAGAAUGGGGCAUUGUUUCAAUCCAUUUGUCAUUUGUCAUACCCCUGUCCAAUCUUUUCCAGAUUCUUGCACCAUCCUUCCUAUGGUUGCACCAAGUAUAGUUUUGACCAUGAUAUCCCAUAUCCAAUAAACCACAAGCCUCAAUAAUGCUAAUAAAUUCCAGACUCUUUUUGAUAUUAUAAUCUCUACCUCCCAAUUUCUCAUUGACUGAGGUUAUCACAUUGAAAUCUCCUAAAAGACACCAAGGGUAAGAAGUUACAGACCAUCUUAACAUAACAUCCCAAAGAGGUUUCCUCAAAUGAUCCUUACACUUAGCAUAAACAUAAGUCAUAAGGAAUUUGUCACUACAAUUAACAUGGCUAACCUCACAAGUCACCUGUUGUUGAUCACUAUCCAUUAUAGUACAAGUAACUUCAUUAGACCAAAAAAGCCAAAUUUUAUUAUUGAUAUUACUGUAGCUAUGAUUCAUUAGUAAUUUCAUUUUGAAAUAAUCAAUAUGAGAUUGAUUUGAAAAAGGUUCUAAAACAGCCAACAUAGAAAGAUUAUGGAGCCUCCUCAAAUUAAUCAAUCUUUCAAGAGCACCAAAAGUAGUGAUGCUCCUAACAUUCCAACAAAGCAUCUUAAUCAUCAAAAUCCUCUACUUCUAGCUCUAGUAUUAGGUUUAUUCAUGCUAGUAUUUUGAUUAGAUUUAAGUAAUUUUCUACCUCUUGGAGAGAGCCCUUGUUUAGCUGUAACAUCUCUAAUUUCAUCAACAUUAGAGGUGUUUAAUAGGGUUCUUUUGUGAAUUUGAUGAGAUGAACCUAUGUCUUCCCUUGGCUCCCUACCUUCCCUUAAGAAUUGAGUAUCAGAAUCAUACUCUUCCUCAAAAUCAGGUUCUUUAUACUCAUUAAGAUUAUCUCUAUGAUGAAUAUUAGGAAUAUUACCAAUGUUAUCAACAUUCUUAUUAUGAUGUUGAGAUGGAUCAUUAAUAUUGAUUUUAUCAGGGGGUACUUUAUCAUUCAAUGAUCCCAGUUCAUCAAUUUUACCUUUUCCUUUAUCAAGUCUAGAUUGAAUUAAUCUAUGUGUCUCCUGACAUUCACCUUCCACACCUCCAACAGCUACACCAGUAGUAUCAGAACCAGUAGUAAUAGUAAGGGGUGCAGGGGAAUGGAUCCUUGAGUCAAUACCUGGGCUGGUUAUUUUUUCCUGUUGGUAACCAGUUUGAUCCUUCCUUUGUUGAUUUGGAUUUUUCCUUCUUUGUGUGUGCCAUUCAUCUUGUCCCAACAGUUGUUGAUUAUCAUGUGUUGAUUGUGUUUGUUGGAUAUGAACUUUCUCCCUUAUACCUGGUUCCAUAACCUGGAAAGAUUGUGAUACUUCAUUGCUAUUGUAAAUAUUACCCUGUCUGUCUUUGUUUCUUUCCAACUCUUUUUUCCUUGUAUUCUCAGCAUCCCUUUGCUUAACAAUGCAAUCAGAUUCCUUAUGCCCUUGAUGCUUACAAUAAAAACAGUAGUUGGGUAUGCUAUCAUAAUCUAUUUUUUGCCAUCUACCAUCAGUUAUGUCCUCUCCUAUAUAUCCCAUCCAAAUAUGGGAUGGCCUAUCCUUGGUUAAGUCCACUUGUACUUUCACUCUUGCUUGACUGCCUUUAGUUUUGUUAAUGGAUGCAGAAUCCAAGUAUAAGACUCUCCCAAUGGGUGAUAAGAGGCUAGUUAUGAAUUCCUUGUUGUAGCAAUGCCAAGGUAAUUCUGGUAGUGAUAUCCAUAUAGGAACAAGAGGGGUUUCUUCAUCAGGUGUAAAUGUUGGAGUCCAAGCUUGGAUUCUCAUGACUUGUCCAGCAAUUGUCAUACGUUGUUUUGUCCAAACCAUAUUGUAAUCCAACUCAUUAUCAAGAUCAAUAUACACAUGUCUAGAAUUGAAAUGAGCAAUUUUAACCCCCCCAGACAGCUGAGUUUGGAGAAUAAAAUUUUUCCUAAUGAGUUCUAAUCUAGGCAUAGUAUAUAUGAAUUUUCCUAUCAAGGUGAAUUUACAGGUAGAUGCCAAAUCUUUUAAUACUUCAUCUUUCACAUACAACACUGCUGGCAAUCCUUGUUUAGUGGUGAUCUCAGGCUCACUCAAGUUGAUACUCACCCCUUUCCUAGACUGAUUAAACCUCAAUCUAUCAGCAUAAGUCUGAACCACAGUGUAGGGUGCAGGCUCUUUAAUUUGAUCUUUCUUGGGAAAUUUAUCACUAGGCCCUGAAGGAAAUUCACUUCUAUCAACUAAAUUUCGAUGAACAGGGUUAUCAAAAUUGGAAGAAAUCUUGGGAAAGUUAGUUUGAUAAUUGUGUUGCCUGGUAGAUUCCCUAUUAAUUCUGUCUAUUUUUUGCAAAUUAGUAACAGGAUUAAGAGUAAUAUUGGGAAGACUAAUGUUACCUUGAUUCAUAUUCUGUGUAUUCAAAGUAACAUCGCUACUUCGCAAUUGACGACCAUUAUCGAUCUCACCUGAAUUUCUUGUAGCUAUGUUUGCUAAUUGUUGAUUUUGUUGAUACCUGUCUGCGUUAAUGUUCAAUUCAGAGCUAUGUUGUUGUGAUUGACUCGAAGGAUUACCCUGUUGAUAAACCUCGCGAUUACCCUGUUCUUGACGAUUUCUCUGCGAUUUCAUCAGAUCAUCUUCCAUGAGAGAUUCACUGUUUCGACCACCAAUUUCUUCCCCAAUUUGUGGAUUACGAGUAUCGAGAUUAAGUGACAAAUCCCCAGUACUUGAUUCUUGUCGAUUUUCAUCCAGUAACCCUUUUGGAGAAUGCGAUUUCUCCAUAUCUCUCGACUGCGAAUCUACCUUUCCGAUUUCGAUCUGUUCUUCCACCCUUUCGCCCACUUUUCCACUCAAAUUUCGAUUCUUUACAGCAUGACGACGCAUUUCAUCCAUGUCUUCCUCUAUAGUCGCAACUUGGAUCGCCUCUUCCCUCAAGCGCGAAGAGGAGGACGAUGAUCCAUCCGCCAUUUCAUUAUUUUUCGAUUGAACUGUCGAUUCCUCCACUCCAAUCGGCGGAUCUGGAGGUCGAAAUCGUUCAUCCACCAUUCAAACACGUUUUGCUGCUCAAAUUCUUUGAUUAACAGCGAUGAACACCAGGAAUCGUGAAAAAUUUCUAGAGAGAGAAAAUUUUUUAGAGAGAGAAAAUUUUUAGAGAGAGAAAAAAUUUGAGAAAUGAAAAAGUGAUGGGGUUUAGGGUUUAGGGUUUAGGGUUUUGGGUUUAGGAUUUAGGGUUUGGGUUUAGGGUUUGGGGUUUAGGGUUUAGGGUUUAGGGUUUAGGGUUUAGGGUUUGGGUUUAGGGUUUAGGGUUUGGGUUUAGGGUUUAGGGUUUAGGGUAUAGGGUUUAGGGUUUAGGGUUUAGGGUUUAGGGUUUAGGGUUUGGGGUUUGGGGUUUAGGGUUUAGGAUUUUUUUUUUUAUUAACGACCCUUGAGGUGGGUAGGGGCUAAGCAUCACCCCCAGGCCUUAACAUUUAUAUAAGAAAAAGAUACAUGGAGGGGGACAUUGAACCUUACCUCCUUCCUAAGUUGAGUUAAUUGAAUUACCUACUAAGGUUAUCAAUUAACUCAUUACAUUUGUUGUAUUCUAAAACAAAGCACCUAGAGAUACCUCUCAAAAUUACUAAGUUCUAGAAAAACUUAAACAAGGGAGACUCUCCCUUUACAAGUUAUGAUAAAAGAGAUAACCUACUUUAUUAACAUAUAAAAUAGAUUUUAAGUCAAUGAAAUUGAUUGAACAAAUACAAGAUUGUCAUGGAGGAUGUUUAAUCCUCUUGAUCUUCCUUCUUCUAAAUAGUUGCAUGCCCAUUUUGUCUAGUAUGUAAUUUCCUUUAAUAGCACCUCUAAGCUGCUGAGGGGUGUAAAAAUGUUGAAUUAUAUCCAUCUUGUGACUCCCUUUUGCUAGUAAGUCAGCCGUGGCAUUUGCCUCUCUAUAAAUAUGUUGGCACUGAAAAUAUUCCAUGUUCUUGCUUAUGUCUUGAAGCUGCUGAAUGUCUUGUUGACUUCUCCAUGGAAUGUACUGUGUGUUGUUGAUCCAUUUGACCAGUAGUUCAGAAUCUACUUCCAAUAUGAGCCUCUUGAAUCCAUGUUGUUGACACCAAUUUAAUCCAUAAAGAGCAGCUUGUAUUUCUGCAAAAUUAUUAGUACCAAAAGCCAAAGGAAUAGAAAAAGCAUAAAUAAGUUUACCUUGAUCAUCUCUAAGUAUACCUCCACCACCUGUUUGACCUGUAUUGUGGAUGGCACUGCCAUCAGUAUUAAGUUUAUAGAUACCUGAGGGUGGCCUGUUCCAUCUCACUAAGGUUAUUUUAAAAUAUUGUUGACAUUGAUCAACAUAUUGAAGAAGCCUCUCCCAACUGUUGAACCAUGGUAUAGUUGGAUAUACAGAUUGAAUGAUCUGCAUACUAUCUUUAAAGAUAGCUAAUUCUACUCUUGAAAUGUUUGAUUGUUUACCUCCAUACUUAACUGAACACCUGUUUUUCCACAAGUUCCAACAAAUAAUGUUGGGUAAAAUGAUAAAAAGAAGUUUUUGUACCUCAUUACUAGUUUGUAGAUUUUUCCAUUGAAGUAACAGACUUCUGAUAGAAGUACUGUCAAUUACUAAUCCCACUCUUUCUGAGUGACACUUCCAAAUAUAUUUAGCAAAAUUACCAGUAAUAAGAAUAUGAUUUAAAUCAUCUUUGCCCUUCCUAUAACAACAAUAACAGUCUUCCUCUUCUUUUCCAAAUCUAAUCAGACUAUCAUUGGUAGGUAGUUUAUUCCUCAAAGCUCUCCACAUAAAGAAGGAAAUUUUAAAAGGAACAUUUCUAUGCCAGAUACUAUUAUUAAUUAUAUCAGGUUCUUUUUUCUUCCUUAUACUCUCCCAUGCAGAUGAAAUUGAAAAUUGACCAUUAUCUUCUAAUCUCCAAUAAGCUAAAUCAGAAAUACCCUCUUUAAGUUGUAAUCUAUAAGUUAGAAUCAUUGGAACAAGAGGUGGAGGAAUAUGUUGCCUUAUAACAGACUCAUUCCACUUUCCAUCUUCAAUGAAAUCUAAUAGCUGAGUAUUAUUUAGACUGGAAAUAUAGUCACAAUAGGUUGCUAUUGCACCAUCUCCAAGCCAAUUAUCCCACCAAACACUGCAGUUACCAGACUUUAUAUUCCAUGAAAUAUACCUUUCCACAUCAUAUCUGUUUCUGGUAAGAUACCUCCAGACCAAGGAAUCCCCUGUAUCAUAUUUCUUUGCCACUACAUUAGACCUUUGACAGUAUUUUGCCUUCAAAAAACAACUCCACAAAGUCUUUUUAGUUCUAAAUUCCCACCAGUGUUUGUAUUGAAAAGCAGUGCAUAUAUCUUCUAAUAAUCUAACUCCAAUACCACCCUCUAUAUAAGGAAAAGCUAAACUCUCCCAUGAUGCCCAAUGAUACUGUUUUUUAUCCCUAUUAGUGCCCCAGAAGAAGUCAGCUAUAACUCUUCUAAUAUAUCUAAGAGUAGUUUUAGGUGGUGAAACAGCAGCCAAUGUAUGAAUAGGUAUAGACUGCAAAACAUGCUUGACCAAAGUAAUUUUACCACCAAAAUUCAAAAUUUUAGUAUGCCAACCUUUAAUUUUUUUAAUGAUUUUAUCCACCAAUUCAGAAUAGUAAAUUAUUCUUUGUCCUCCAAUAUACAAAGGACAACCUAAAUACAUAAUAGGGCUAUGCUUCCUUCUAAAACCAGUUUCCUCAUUGAUGACUUCAAUAACACUCUGAUUAGUAUUAUUAGUAACCAUAUAGAAGCUCUUUUCCUUAUUCACUUUCUGAUUAGAUACUUUCUCAUAUUCAGCAAUAGUUUCCAUAAUUAGUUGGAGAGAAUUUCUGUUUGUGGAGGUGAAUAUUAUUAUAUCAUCAGCAAAACUUAAAUGGUUAAUCUGUGGUCCUCUCUUCUCCAUAUAGAAACCCCUAUAAUCCUGAUUCUGAUAAAGAUUGUUCAGCUGUCUAGAUAAUACCUCAGCUCCCAAAAUAAAUAGGGCUGGUGAUAAGGGAUCUCCUUGUUUAAGACCUCUAGAAGAAUGGAAAAAACCAUGUCUUUUUCCAUUGAUAACAAUGGAAUACCAAUUAUUACUCAUAAUUCUCCAAGUUCUGUCUAUAAACAAUUCACCAAAGCCUAAUUUUCUCAAAACUAAACAAGUGUAAGCCCAAGAAACUCUAUCAUAAGCUUUAACCAUAUCAAGUUUAAUAACCACAUUAUCUCCUUCAUGAGGCAAGUUAAUUCUAUGGAUAAUUUCUUGUGCCAGCAUUAUAUUUUCAGAAAUACUCCUUCCUUUUACAAAGCCUGACUGGUUUUUAGAAAUAAUACUAGGUAAAAUAGGUGCCAGUCUAGUACUCAUAAUCUUAGAAAUGAUCUUGUUAGUAAAGUUGCUUAGACUAAUAGGUCUAAAGUCUUUUAGCUUAUUAGGAUAUUCAACUUUAGGGAUCAACACCAAACAAGCAUGAGUCAUAUACUUAGGCAUGUCAAAACCAUUGAAAAAGUGUUGAACAGCAGCCAAAAGAUCAUCUUUUAUUAUAUCAAAACAUACCUGAAAAAAUUUCCCCCCUAUACCAUCUGGUCCUGGUGCAGAAUUGGGAUUCAUAUUCAUUAUCACAUUCUUCAAUUCAUCUAUAUUAGGCAUCUGUUCCAGCUUAAUAUUUUGUUCAUCAGUAAUGAUUCUACUAAUACACUGAAGACUAUCCUCAUUAAUAACCUCAUUUUUGCCAGUGAAAAUUUGUUUAUAGUAAUCACAAGCAGUUUUAACAAUAUUCUCUUCCCCUUGUAUCCAUUCACCAUUCUCAGACUCAAGCUUAGUAAUACACAUUCUUUUUCUUCUACCUCUCAUAAUAGUAUGAAAAUAUUUGGAGUUGGUAUCACCUUCCUUUAACCAAUGAAUCUGUGUUUUUUGUUGCAUAAUGUCAUAUUCUAAUUUCAUGUAUCUAAUGUACUGAGCAUUUAAGGCCUGCAGUUUCUCUCUAUUUUCCUGAUUAUUUUCCUGAAUAAUAUUCUCCUCAGCAAGUUUAACCAUCUCUUCAAACUGUUUGACUUUGAUGAAAACAUCCCCAAAUUCUUUUUUGGACCAAUUCCUCAAAAUAACAGUAAGUCUCUUCAUUUUAGUAUGUAAUAUCCACAUAGGACUACCUACCACCUUUUUAUUCCAACAAUUUUCCACAGUUGAGUAAAAAGUCUCAUGCUCAGUCCAACAGUUAAGGAAUUUAAAAUAUUUUAUAGCAUUUUCCUUAUCAUUCUUCAUCUCCAUUAAUAAUGGACAGUGAUCAGAACCCACAGAAGGCAAAUGAGUGAUAGAAGUGUUAGGCAUAAUCCUUAACCAAUUAUCAUUGACCAAUCCUCUAUCCAAUCUUUUCCAUAUUCUAGCAUCACCCUUCCUAUGAUUACACCAUGUGAAAGGCUGACCACUAUAUCCUAAAUCAAUUAAACCACAUGAUUCUAUUAUGUUGAUGAAAUCAAAACUUUUAUUGAUAUUAUAGUCUCUUCCACCCAAUUUUUCAUCAGUGGAGAUAUCACAUUAAAGUCUCCAAUGAUGCACCAAGGUAUAUCCACAUCAGACCAUUGGAUUAACCUAUCCCAAAGAGGUUUUCUCAGAUGUUCCUUACACUUUGCAUAAACACAGGUAAGUAGAAACUUAUCACUACAUUCUUCAUGAUAAACUUCACAAUUGAUAAGUUGUUCAUCCAUGUCAAUUACUUUACAAUUCAUAUCAUUAGACCAAAAAAGCCAUAUUUUAUUAUUAGAAUUACUAUAACAGAAAUCCAUCAACAAUUUCAAUCUAUAAGCUUCCAACUGAGAACUAUUAGCAAAAGGCUCAAGAAUAGCAAUCAUAGUGAGCUUGUGAAUUUUCUUUAAGUUGAUUAAUCUUUCAAGAGCACCAAAUGUAUUAAUGCUCCUAGCAUUCCAACAUAUGAGACUAAUCAUUAAACACCUCUACUUCUAGCUCUAGUAUUAGGUUUACUAAAACUAGCAGUCUUGUUUUGUCUAGAAACUUUCCUACCCCUAGGAGACAAGCCCUGUUUGCCAGUCACCUCUCUAACUUCCUCAAAGUUAGUAUUAGGAAGCAUGGGGCCAUGUUGAGCUUGUUUUGAGGUUAUUUCUUCCCCAGUAUUAGUGCCUUCAUCUAAGGAUUGAGUAUCUAAAUCAUCCUCAUCCUCAGAAUUCAGAACACCAUAUUCAUCAAUAUGAUCCUCACUAGUCUUUUGACCAGUGUCAAUUAGAGUAGUAUUUUUGUUAGUUUUAGAUUUAUUAAUCUUAUCUUUAUCAGGGGGUUCUCUAUCAUCCCUUAUCAGAAACCCCUGAUCAUCUACUUUUUCUUUUCCUUUAUUAAGUCUAUCAAUGUGCAACCUUUUAGAACCCUGACAAUCACCAGCCUCACCUCCAACAGCUACACCAGCAUGAGUAGUAAUAGUAAGGGGAAUGGGGGUAGAUCUAUUAAACUCAAUACCUGUAAUAUUAGUAGAAUCAUGUUGAUUCCCACCUUGAAUUAAUAUAUUGCCUUGAUCAGCUCUUCUUUGUUGAACACUGUUAUCCUUUUUAUGAUUAUUUCUUCCUGCUCUGUCAUUAUGCAUUGUAUUUUCCUGAUGAGCCCUGUUUAUACCUGUCUUCUGCUGUAGCCUUUGAUCUUGAGUGUCAAAAAUUUGUUCCUCCCCUUCAUCCUCAGAUGGACUAGUACCCUGCAACUCUAAAUCAAUGUAAGUAUUUUUUGUUAUAACAGGAAACUGACCUUGUUGAUUGUGAUGUUGUUGUUUUUGUCUAUCCAUAUUUCUAUUAGAGGUUCUAUCAGCAUCCCUUCUUCCCUGUUGAUUAUUAUUCCUUCUUUUUGGGUUUGCCAUUUCUCUUGAUUGAAUAGCUGUUGAUUAUCAACAUGUUGAUAUUGUUGAUCAUGUUCAACCUCAAUUCUACCUAUAUCAUUAUCCUUAGCACUCUGCAACUCUGUAUUGACAUUGUGAGCAGAAUCUUUUCUAUUCCUAUUUUUUUCCUGUUCUUGUCUUUUUUAUUUUCCUCCUCUCUUUGUUUAACUAUACAAUUAGACUCCUUAUGGCCUUGAUGUUUGCAGUAAAAACAAUAGUCAGGAAUACUAUCAUAUUCAAUCUUUUGCCACCUCCCAUCAGUAAUGUCUUCUCCCUUAUAACCCAUCCAUAUGUGAGGUGGUCUUUCUUUAGUUAAAUCCACCUGAACUUUAACUCUUGCUUGACUACCUCUUGUUUUAUUAAUAGAUGUUGAAUCAAGGUAAAGGACUCUACCAACAGGGGCUAACAAGCAGGUGAUGAAUUCCUUAUUGUAACAGUGCCAUGGUAACUCAGGUAAUGAAAUCCAAAUUGGUACAAGAGGUGUCUCUUCUUCUGGUUUAAAAGAAGGAGUCCAGGCCUGUAUUCUCAUUAUUUGACCAGCUAUAGACAUUCUUUGUUUAGUCCAAACCAUAUUGUAGUCUAGUUCAUUAUCUAGAUCAAUAUACACAUGUCUUGAAUUAAAAUGUGCUAUUUUCACACCUCCAGAAAGUUGAGUUUGGAGUAUGAAAUUCUUUCUAAUUAACUCUACUCUAGGCAUGGUGUAUAUGAACUUACCAAUAAGAGUAUACUUACAAGUCGAUGCUAAAUCUUUGACAAUCUCAUCCUUAACAUACAGAACAGCUGGUAAUCCUUGUUUAGUAGUUAUUUCAGGUUCACUUAAUUUGAUACUAACUCCUUUCUUAGAUUGAUUAUAUCUCAGCCUAUCAGCAUAGGUUUGAAUGAUAGUAUAGGGGGCAGGUUCAGGUGUUUGAUUCUUCUUAGGAAAAUUGUUAGAAUUGCCUAUAGGAUAAUCAUUUUUCUCAGGUAAAUUUCUAGUGACAUUACGAUCGUAAUUACUAGUAAUUUUAGGAAAAUUAGCCUGAUAUUCCUGAUUUCUAACUGUUUCUUUACCAGUUCUAUCAUUUUCCUUCAAUCUAUUAUCAGAAUUGUGAAGAGCAUGCAUGGAAGACUGAUUACCUUGAAUUUGUUCAGGAAUAGGAGUUAAACCACGCGAAUACUCACCUGCUUCCUUGUAUUUGGAGAAUUGAAUUUCAUCUACCUGAGUUCUUAGUGUGUUCAUUGUAACUCGUUGCGAAGGAUGAACUUCAUCUUGUAAACUAGGGUUUCUUGUAUUUGGAAUCAUAGUUUGUUGAUAGCUUCUGGUUCCUUGUUCAAUUGGCUAUUGUUUAUUGUUCGAUUACUCAAAUGUUGCCCCUCCAUAUUUCCUUGUUCAUGAAUGUUCAACUGCGAUUUCCCCAUGUAACCGUCGUGGUCGCGAUUCUACCAGUUCUCCUUCUCGCUGCGACUCAAUAUUUCGAUCCUUUUUAUCUCUCCCAAGUUGUUGAGUAUGUGGAUCUGUAGUAUGAGAUAGUUUUCUUCAGUACCAGAUUUUUGUCGAUUGCUACCCGAUAACCUGGGUGAGAACUCGAUUUCGCCGCCAUCGCUUGCGAUCUCAUCACUUCCGUCGCCUGCGAUUCUACUCUUCCCGAACCUCGUUUGUUUUUCCCCCAUUACGUUCGUUUUUGACUCGUUCUAACUGGCGACGCAAUUCAUCCAUCUCCGCCUCUACAGUCGCGACUUGGAUCGCCUCUUCCCUCAAGUUCGCAGAGGAGACGAUGAUCCUUCCGUCCCUCAAUAUUUGUGGCCUGAACAUUCAAUUUUUCACCUCCAACCGCAGAAUCUGGAGGUAUAAAACGUUCAUCACCAGGAUUUCCAUCCAUUACAAUAAUGCCAAUCAAUUUCUUCGAUCAGCACUAUUCACGCGUAAAUUCUUGCAAAAAAAUCUAGAGAGAGAAAAUUUUUUAGAGAGAGAAAUAUUUUUAGAGAGAGAAAAAAUCUGAAAAAUGAAAAAGCGAUAGGGUUUAGGGUUUUAGGGUUUAGGGUUUGGGGUUUGGGGUUUGGGGUUUGGGUUUUUUGGGUUUGGGGUUUAGGGUUUAGGGUUUUGGUUUGGGGUUUGGGGUUUGGGGUUUUGGUUUUGGGUUUGGGGUUUGGGUUUGGGGUUUGGGGUUUGGGGUUUAGGGUUUGGGGUUUGGGNNNNNNNNNNNNNNNNNNNNNNNNNNNNNNNNNNNNNNNNNNNNNNNNNNNNNNNNNNNNNNNNNNNNNNNNNNNNNNNNNNNNNNNNNNNNNNNNNNNNCGUUUGUUGCUACUUUCUGGACCAAGGAGGUUGAUAAUAACAAAAGAAUUAUCAACAUUGAUUCAGUAUGCACUAUGUAAUGGUCUAGUGUCGAUUUGUUGGAAGUAACAACUAAGCCAUACAUCGAUUAUGAUACUUAAUAUGAGGUAAAAAUAAGGUUUAGUAAAGCAUACACACGUAGCCGGACCAAGGUGCGGAGUGAAAUUUCCUAGUUUCCGGAUCAGGAAUAAGGGAUACAUAACUUGCCACUUUGCAUGGAAGAUACUAGGAAAGGAUUGUUAUAGCUAGAAUUACUGUUUUAUGAACCUGUGGGGAACACUUAUUCCCUAGUUACUCUCAUCACUUAAUAAGUAUCAAAUAUUCAUAGUUUCUACUUGUUAACUUAAAAAUAUUUAAUUCCUUGUGUUAUUUAAAAUCCCCUUUAUUACCAUUUUUCGAAAAGGACUUGAUUAAAUAUAAGUUAUUGUAGGUUAAAGUUAAGUAUAAAUCAUUUUCCUUGUGGAAUCGACCCCAAACUUGGAGUUGGGUCUUAACAUGAUACGACCUCUUAUACUUCUUUUUGAUAAGAAAAUUUUAGCCUAUCAAACGAAUCCCCUCCGAACACCUUAGAGGUCCUUGAAGAGGAUCCAGACCUUGGCAAGAAGCUUCCUAAAAGUUUCAAAACUAUGCCUCACGAACGACGCCCCUUAGAUAGAAUGACGCCCUAUUGAUUGAGGGUGUGACUCCAUACAUAGUUGUAUAAAAUUAAACCCAAAAACUGGGGUCUUUAACAAAAUAGAUACCCAUCAUGACAACCCAUCAAUCAAACUAAACCUAGCAGUUUUGUGGUCGUCGUUUGACCUGCAAUUUUCCUACAUGUCUCGACCAAGGUGAGGGUAAUUUGGGAAAUUUACCCCACGCCCUAAUUAAGUAUGAGAUGGUUAUUUUAGGUGUUUUUAGGUAUUUUAAGUAAGUUUAUAUACCUAAUACCUAAUUAGGCCUUACUUUUACAAAUCAAAACCCCACGAUCAAAUAAGUUCUCUCUAGGCUCGAUUGAAGCUAGAACUCAAGGUGAAGAUAGGAUUGAAGUGCUCCACUAAUUUCUCCAUAGAUUUCAUUGGAUUUGUUCAAUUAAGGUAUGGUGAUCUCAUCAUUGAUUCUUCUCUUAUUCAAGGAGCCAUUUCCAAAGGCUUUUUAAAGAUCUUCAAAAAUAUUAAAAUUCUUUUUUGAAUUCUAAGCAUGAGUUCUUGCACGAAAAGGUGUAGAUGGUUGCUCUAUGAAUUGAUAAAUGUUAAUUUAUGGUUUUAGGAUCAAAAACUACAUAAAACAUGGAUUCCUUGAAUUACUAAUUUUAUAUCUAAUGUUGGUGAAUUGUUCAUGGCUUAAUUGUAUUGAAUUCAUGUGUAGAUUGUAUUGGGAUAUUGAAUUAUGUAUUGGUCAAUUUUAGAAUUGUUCGUAGCUUGCCUUAUAAUGUUUUUAUCUAUAUUGAGUAUUAAUGGGUAAUUAAUAUGGAUGGGUCAUUGAUAUGGAUGACUUGUUGGCUUAGUCUAGAGUAUAUUUGUUAUUGUAAAGAUAUCUUGUUAUAUGAUUUGUUGGAAACGAUAAGGAAUGGUGAUUAUGUCUAUUGGAAGGUGGUUAGUUAACCUAACUCCUUUACUUUCUAUAGAAUUCAUAUUGAAUUUUUAUUGAUUGUUUUGGUCCACUUAUGGUGGUGUUGUUCAAUUUUAAUAAUUGUUUUGAACAUGGCCUUGUCGGUAAAAUUAGGUAAAUCAUGGUAUCAUCAUAAUAUAGUUUAUGUGAAGCAAAAAGUGAAAGUGCUCAUGUAUUGUCUAUAUGAUCUUAUAUGGGUACUAUAAUGGUAUGUUUCAAUAUACGUCCUCUCUAGUUGUUGAUAUAUGAUGAUUAAGGACUAGGAAGAGCCUUUGUAGAAUAAUGUUUUGUCUUGAUUGGUAGAUUUAGGUCCCUCUUCUUAUACAUUAAAGUUGUGUGAAUUUGAUAUCUUUAAUUGGUAGGAUUAGGCAUCUUUUUCAUAUAUCUGUAUGUAUGAAUUAAAGAAUUGAAGUCUAGGAUCGGUAGAUGUAUAUUAGGUGCCCUUCUAUGACAGACUUAUAUGGAACCUUGAAUAUGAAUAGAUAGUUAAGAAUGAGCUAUCCUUGGAAAUAGUAUUAUGAGUUGGUCAAACUAGUAAUGGUACCUUUUAUAAUAAACCUAUGCAAUGAUAUACUCUAAGAGAAACAAGGCAAAAAACUGAGAGGAUAUGCUUAUGGUAGUAGUUCUUCUUUAGA
rnacentral:lncRNA from 1 species